GGUUGGAAUUCACCUGGGUUGGCCCACAUGCGUGGGUCCCGCUGUAGUUUCCAAAUGUUGACUAGUACACGAGUGCCCUUGGGCACGUGGUAGCCUGCCAGGUGGCAAUCCUCUGUUGCCUCACGCAGGCCUGUGAGUGGGCCAGGUGGGUAUACGCGUAGGGUUUCUUUGAGAAUGGCUUGGAGGUAUUUGAGGUUAGGGAGGUCUGAUUCUUGUACCCAUCUGUCUCUUCCUACUUGUAUGUCCAGUUCUUGUUGGGCAGCUUUUAGGGUUUUCGGGUUGUUCAGUAGUAGGGAGAGUGCCCAUGUUAGAGUGACGGAUGUGCUUUCUGUGCCAGUUAGGAUUAGAACCUGCCAAAAGCAAUUAAGGAAAACAAUUAAUAUUUGUAUAAUAAUUAAUAUUGUUGCUGAAUAGCUUUAUAUUGUUACACUAAAUUAACCUUACCAGUGCUGUUGAUUUGAUGACAUUAUCAAGGCUAUGGCCAGAAAUCACAUCGUCCUCCUCUUGCAAGCUGGAGAUCAUCACAUCCAUCAAGUCACUUUCAACCCUAUCUAUCUUGCCUUGAGGCCUUGAUCUCUGGCGAUGUUCUUCAAGCCAUUUCCCAAGCACACAGUCAAGUUCCUUGAAACACCUUUUCAUGGAACCCACAUGCCCAAACAAGCUGUCCAGCCACUCAAGCCACGGCAUAGCAUCUGACCAAACAAAAACGCCAAACAGAUACAAAGCCUCCUUCACAGCCUUUUCAAAACGCCAAGCCUCACUGUUUUUCUCAUUAUAUUGCUCAGCUGUGAAUCUCUUCCCAGCAAUCAGCCUCACGUUUAUGUUGAACGUUAAGAACUCAAUUAACUCACUUAAAUGCACUGGCGUGGGGCUCGCGCCAUUCUUCGUGCAAAGUGAGAGCAGAUUUUUGAUGAACAAGUCAACCUUCGAGGUCCUAACGUGGCUUAGCAUUUCGACUCUUUUGGUCGAGAGGAGCUCCAGCGUGGCCAGCUUGCGGACGUGGCGCCAGUAGGGCCCGUAGGGGGCUAGGGCAAAAAGUGCAUUGUCGUAGCCCAAGUGCUUGCCUCCUGCAAUGCUUGCUCGUGUGGCAAAAACUCUAUCGUUUGUUGUGAGACAUUCUUUGACUGUCUCCCAGGCGCUGAGGACCAGCACUUGGUGUUGGCCAAGCUUGAGGGAGAAGAUUGGUCCAUGGUCAUCUGCCAUGGCUCCCAAGGUUAUGGCAACUGGGUCUUUGCUACGUAACAGAGGGAGGUGGCCUAUGAAGGGCCAUGCUCCAGAGGGUUGGGGGACUAAUUUGGUCGUCACAGUCGUCUUUGUGCUGGUGAUCUUCUUCUUAGUGUGAGCUGUGAUUCUCAAGGCAGCAUAUAGAAUAAGCAAAGAUAAAAUUGUUUCAAGAAUUUGGAUUGGGGAAAUUGUAAAAUCCAUGGUGUUGGGGAGAGAGAGAGAGAGAGAGAGAGAGUGUUACAGAUGGGAAUAUGAUUGCGUGUAGGAUAUAGUUCAUUUUGCAAGUGUAUUUAUAGACACAGAUACGUCUCUUUCAAAAACAAAUAAACAAACGCAUUGAGAUACACAAUGGAUGCUCACCACAUCUCAAAUAUAUAGGAUAAUUAGAUAUUUAAUUUUUUUUCUCUUUCCAACAUCUCUGGUUUUCAUUCACUAGAGUGUCGGUUGGAGUUCGAUACUUAAAAAAUAUAUAUAUAUAUAUAUAUAUACUCUACUUAUAAGACAGUAAUGUUUACAAUUUUGAUGCAACAGUGCCGCUGCUAUAAAUCAUAGGACAAACUUACUUGGGCCCAUACCUUCAUAUCUAUGUCUACCAAAUUAAAUGAUUACCCGCUUGCAAACUUUUUCAAACAAAUAAAGUAAAAAUUGAAGGUGAUUCUAAGAGCAUCUCCACCUCAAAAGGCUAAGGUAAGGAUAAGAGCAAAGCAAGGGCAAUAGUGGCAGCUUUGUAAUUUGUGGUUCCACCUCAAAGGGCUAAGGCUAAGGCAAUUACUAUUCAUUGUACUUUAUUUUCUAUUUUUUUAUACUUUCAACUAUUAAUUUUGAUAAUUUUUUGUAAUUAAAUUUCCGGAUAAGAUUUUUAGUUGCCACGUGUCCAUCAUUUUUCAGAAAAGAUUUUCGAAUGAGACUCUCAGUUGCCACGUGUCUUAUUCCAAACAAACUUUUUGGAUAUUCAUUAAAAAAAAAUUAUAAUCUCAGAUUUCAAAUAAGAUUUUCACCCUCUAAAAUUGUGCCACGUGUCCCAUGUCAAAUAAGAUUUUCAGAUAUUUUAAAAAAAAAUUAUAAUCUAAUAUUUUAGAUAAGAUUUUCACCCUCUAAAAUUGUGUCACGUGUCCCAUGUCAGAUAAGAUUUUCAGAUAUUUUAAAAAAAUUAUAAUCUCAUAUUUCAGAUCAGAUUUUCACCCUCUAAAAUUGUGCCACGUGUCAUCUCUAUCUUCUGAAUCCCUCUAUAAAACUACACCAUUAACUUAUACCUCUCACACCAUUUCUUAUCUAUUCAUUCAUUUCUCAGAUUUUACAAAACACAUUCUACUCUUAAUGUCAAACUUGAGGAGGUUGUUGGAGAGGCAACAGAAAGAAGAGGAACAAAUCUGGCGUAGAUGUGCUGAUAAAGAUGAGGAGGCCGAUAAAGAAGAGGAAGACAUGCUUGCAGCAGCGGUGUGUAUGCUUAAUCAAUCAAGGCAACACCGCCGUAGUCGUGCCCCAAAUGUGGACAGACGUAGGGAGUCUCGAGGUAAAAAUCUCUUGGAAGAUUACUUUAUCCCAAAUUCGUUAUAUCAUGUUCAUAAGUUUCGAGAGAGAUAUAAAAUGCAGCCACAUUUGUUCCGAAAAAUCAUGCAUGAUAUUUGUAAUUACGACACAUACUUCAUUCAAAAAUAUGAUACUGUUGGAGUUUUCGGUAUUCUCCCGGAGCAAAAACUUACAGCUACUUUGCAGAUGCUUGCUUAUGGGGCAUCUGCAAAGCAGGUGGAUGAGAUUGCAAGGAUGGGAAAAUCAACUAUCCUAGAGUGCUUGGUGAGAUUCUAUGAUGCAGUGGAAAAUUUGUACACAAGGGAGUACCUUCACAAACCCACGCCAAGGGACCUGCAAAGGCUUCUACAAAAAGCUGAGGCUCGAGGUUUCCCAAGAAUGAUUGGAAGCAUCGAUUGCAUGCACUGGCAGUGGAAGAAUUGUCCUACUACUUGGCAAGGAGACUAUGGGAAUCGGAAGGGCAAAAAAAGUAUAAUUUUGGAGGCCGUAGCUUUAUUCGACUGUUGGGUUUGGCAUGCCUUCUUCGGAAUUGCCGGAUCUUAGAAUGACCUCAAUAUCCUUGGUCAAUCCCCGGUACUCGACGAGGUAUUGUGAGGUCAUGACCCCCAGAUCACCUACCAAGUCAACAAUACCGUAUACUCUGGUACGUACUACUUUGCCGACGGAAUUUAUCCUAGGUGGACAACAUUUGUGAAAACAAUUCCAAAUCCCCAAUCCGAGAAAGAAAAAAGCUUUGCUGCCUUUCAAGAAGGUUACAUGAAAGACGUGGAAAGGUGUUUCGGUAUAUUGCAAGCUCGUUAGGCAAUUAUUAGGGGUGCUGCUUGGAUGCUAGAUGAGGAGGUGCUGCAGAGCAUUAUGCUGACUUGCAUCAUCCUCCACAACAUGAUUGUGGAGGAUGAGUUUGAUUAUGAUGCUUCAGAUGUGUUUGAACCCGAUCCCAUGAACACGGCGUUGACAAGAAUGUAUGAAAGGCCAAUGAGACCAAAUGGACAACCAAUGGAGCCCAAACCGUUACUUCGGGAUGGUCGAUACAACAACCCAAUGAUUGAUUGUUAUCAAGAAAUGCAAUCUUAUAUGUUCACGAGAGACAUCAACUUGACUUGAUCGAGCACUUGUGGGAGAUGAAAGGCAAUCACAGUGGAUGAAGUCAAGAUACAAGCUUUGUUUGGAAUUAUGCUUUAUUUUGUGUGUGGUGUUUUUUGGAAUUAUGCUUUUUUUAUUAUUAUUAUGCUUUUAAGUAUGGUUUGUUUUGUGUGUUGUUUGCAAUAAAUUAAGGUUUGUUUUUAAUUAAUCUUUGUUUUGAUGCUCAAAUGUUUUUAAUAAAUUGUCAUAUUAUUUAAUGCUUUCUUUAUUGAAUAAAAAGGAAACAAUACAACAAAUUAAUACAUAUGGCAAAGGUGUUUCAAUACAACUUAAUGGUUUUCAUCAUUUAACCAAUCCGUAUUGCUAGGUCCAUCGUCAUGGAAAAGUUUUCUUCUCAUCACAUCCCUUCGUCUUAGCUUCCAAUAGGCCUUUGUUUCAGAAGACAUAUGGCUUGUAUCCAUGGCCAUGAUUUUCAUCUCUCUAUCAUCCAUGUCUUUUUCUUUUGCCUGCUGCUGUUGAAUGCAAAUGCUUCCUGUCGUGCCUUGUUCGCUUCAUCUCUUUUUAAGUCUCUCUCAAUUCUUAGUGCAGUGUUCUUAGCUAUUUGCUCCAAUAAUUGUACACAUUCAUUGUUCGAAGUGCUCCCUCUCUUGGCCUUCGCCGCCUUUCUCCCAAUAGGUCUCGACGGAUGUGGAAGUGGUGACUCCGUUUCCAUUGGGAGUCCAAUGGCGAAUCGGUUGUUGACGAAUCGUGGAGCGGCGUCUCAUUUAAUACAACCGGUAGACCUGUGGGAAUAAUGUUGAAUCUCGAAAAAUCCUUCACAACUUCCCAACAUUGGAAAUGCAAGAAACUUUUUUUUCUUUGCCCCAUGGCACCGAACCAAAGUUGUGCUUGUAUGAUCUAUUAAAAAUAAAUAAUUGGAAGUGUAAGAAAAAAAUAUAUAUUAUGCAAGAAAAUAUAAACUAUUUUGAAAUGCAUGAAUAAAAUUGAUUAUGCAAGAAAAUAUAGACAAAUUGGAAAUGCAAAAAGAAAAAAAAAAGAUUAUGCAAGAAAAAGAAAUAUAAUAUGCAAUAAAAAAAAAGCUACAUGAAAUUGAUUUAAAUGGCAAUUAUAAAUAUUUUACCUUAUCGGAUAGAUUUUGACCGCUUCGAAUGUUCUCCCUUGCUUUUGUCAAGGCAUUUCUCCAUUUCCCUAACUCUUUAUUCAGAAUUUUCCAUCUACUAGACAAGGUCAUUUCGGUUCGAAUAGAACCCGAUCUUUGACAAAAUUCUCCCUGAAUUUUGCUCCACAUAUGAGGCAACUUCAUCUCAUUGCCCGAGACAGGGCAAUGACUAACGAUCACCCAAGACUGACACAACGCAAUAUGUUCAUGAGUUGUUCACGCACCUCCAGCUUCGACAGAAGAUGGCAUUUGUUUUUUGAUACAAAUGGAAAGUAGUAGAAAAAUGUGAGUGGAGAGUAAAAAAGAUUGGAAUGAGAAGAGUUUAGAUGAAGAAUUGGUGUGGAAAGUGAAUAAUGUGAGUGGAGAGUAAAAAAUAUUGGAAGGAGAAGAAAUUGUAUGAAGAUUUGGUGUGGAGAGUGAAUAAAAUUGUUAGGUAUUUUUAAGGAAAAAAAUCCAGAAUUUUUGGUUUUUUUUUAAAAAAAAAAUUCAGAAUUUUUUAGCCAAAAAAAGGAGGACCGUCGGAUUUCUAGAAAAAAACUGAUCGGAGAGUCUGGGUUGCGACACGUGGCGCAUGCCCGUUGGAUUCUGUUAGCUCUGACGUCACCUCCCUUGGGCUGAAGCCUAGGCGAAACCUGCCCUUGGGCUUGCCCGAGCCUCUUUUCUCGCGCUGGAGCAGUCUUGGGCUUGCUCGGGGGGCCUCCUGCCGGGUUUGCGUGCAGCACUGGAGCUGCUCUAAGUCAAGUCACCCAUUCAAACUCUACAUCGUCAAGUUUCCAUUACCUGGCCGCUAAUCAAUUAUCCAAUACAUCAAUUGGCUUCUUUGAUAUUUUUUUUGGUUGUGAAAGUUAGGAAGGGGGUGGAAAACUUAUACACAGGUAUUAUGGGGGCUUGAAUUUAGGAUCACUUGGAAGCAUAUCAAGAGCAUAGGCCAAUCCAGCUAACACCCCAUUGAUCUUCUUUAAGACUUUCAAGCAGUUAAAAUUGCACAUAACUUCCCGGAAAUAAAUAUGGUUUUAGAUUUUUUAAGCAAAUUUAGGGUGUAAUCUUCCUAAUAUAUGUCUUUGUCCACGAAUUUAAUGGGGCUCAGUUCUAUUAGAAAGAUCGUCCUAAAAAUGUAAUAAGCGUAGUAUUUUCCUUUAAGAUGUCAUCCUAAUAAUGAUUUCCAACUUUCCAUAAUGAAAUGAAUGCCACUCGUGAAUAUUCAAAUACUCGUUAUUGGCGAUUUUCACACCUCAUAACCCUAACAAAGCCUUCCAUUCCACUGACAGGUGACACAGGUCAUAUAUCAUUCAACAACCAUUACGUACCCAAUUAAUAUUUGACUUCUAAAUUCCUAAUACAUAUCUGGAUGGCUAUGAAUUAAUGGUCGUACCCUUUAGAAUUCAAAGGUUAAACUUGUGGUGUGGAAGAAAACACACAUCAAACACAGAACAAACGUUGUUCGAUCGACCAUGAUUCUUUGUCCUGGGGUGAAAGAUAUUCUACAAAGUUGCCUUCGAUGUAAAGCCUGGUUGAAAAGUAUCAGGCCCUAUGAACAUAUGGACGAGAUUUCGUUGCCAGAUGAUACUUUGAGCAGUUUGUAGAGCAGAGCUUAUUUAGGCCAUUGGGUGGGGACCUUGGUCGAAAACGUUUUCCACGUAUCGAUGGCUUUAGUUUAUGUUAUAACACAUGAAUAAUAAUGUUAAAUUUGUAUACCAAUCAAACUUUGCCGAGGGGUGUAUUUCAGUAAACAAAAGUGUAUUGAUUUGUAGACUAACGAUAUCAAAUUUGAACUCAUUUUUUCGGUAGUUUAAACUAUCAUUUGUAUUUUAUUGUAAGAAAUAAGUUUUAUUAAGAAUCACAAAAGAGAGAGCAAAACAAAAUUGAGGCCACCACAAGAAAACCAAAGGCCGAGCCAUGCUAAAAACCCACUACAUAGAUAAAGUUCACUACAAACAUAAAGCCCACCAAAAAAAAUUUCAUAACUUAUCAACUGUUUGUGCGGGUGUGGAUAAAAUAAGGGAUAGUCUGAAUUGGGUUCAUAUAUUUGUUUCUUGGAAAAAUUGUAGCAAUGGUCUCUUAAAUAAGACCCCAUUUUACUUUUCGUUUCUCAACCCUAAAAAUUAUUAUGAUUAUCCUUCAAUUAGAUCUAUUGUUGCAUCAGUCGUCCUUUUCAUCAGUUCUAAUUGUUUUUCCGUCAAAAAUAAAGGUAAAUUAGAAAAUUCAUAUCAACUUUUAUUAGAUAAAUAAACUCAUUUAUCUAUAUAUAUAAAGCAAAAUGCAGAGAGUGGUAAAAUAUUCAAAAUAUCAGAAAAUACCAUUGGUUAAUGCAAAUAUUAAGAAUUGAAAUUAUUAAUUAAAUGAGGAUAAUAUGGUAAAUUUCCAUCUUUUCAUAUUAAAAAAAUUAAAAGAAAAAGAAAAAUCACAUAAUAGAUCUUAUUUUUAUGGAAUACAUCUACCCAUUAUCUCUUUUAAUUCUAAAAUACAUUUAAACUUUUAAAAAAAAAAAAAAAAAAAAAAAAAGCCUUUCGUAGGUGCAGAAGAGCGUGCGAAAAGACUAGUAAACUUAAAUUCCGAGUGUAGGAUACGUACAAGAAGCCAUUUACAAGAUUAACGUUGUCCUAUCUUUAGCUCCUUACUUAAAAUUCAUAAUGUUACAUAUUGGGCACAAGUGAAUUUAUUAUAUAAAAGUGAACUAUAAUAUUUCCUGCCAACGUUUGAAGCUGCCAACUUCUUCAAAGACAUUAUUUAUAGAGGUGAAGAGGAAGGCGUGGGGAUAGCAAAGCCUCCAGCGGAUUUGCUUUGGGCAGGGCAAGCCCCAGCCCUUCACGCAUGUCCACUGCCUCCUCACCAACCCUACUCAUAUCAAAACCCUGAACCAAACGAGCCAGAAUUAAUUGGACCACUUGCAGCCCCAAAACCAUGCCAGGGCACGACCUCCUGCCUGAGCUGAACGGAAUAUACUCAAAAUUAUUUUGACCUUUGAAUUCCACGUCAGCAUGGGUGGUCAUGAACCUCUCGGGUUGGAAUUCACUUGGGUUGGCCCACAUGCGUGGGUCCCGCUGUAGUUUCCAAAUGUUGACUAGUACACGAGUGCCCUUGGACACGUGGUAGCCUGCCAGGUGGCAAUCCUCCGUGGCUUCACGCAGGCCUGUGAGUGGGCCAGGUGGGUAUACGCGUAGGGUUUCUUUGAGAAUGGCUUGGAGGUAUUUGAGGUUAGGGAGGUCUGAUUCUUGUACCCAUCUGUCUCUUCCUACGUGUAUGUCCAGUUCUUGUUGGGCAGCUUUUAGGGUUUUUGGGUUGUUCAGUAGUAGGGAGAGUGCCCAUGUCAGAGUGACGGAUGUGCUUUCUGUGCCAGUUAGGAUUAGAACCUGCCAAAAGCAAUUAAGGAAAACAAUUAAUAUUUGUAUAAUAAUUAAUAUUGUUGCUGAAUAGCUUUAUAUUGUUACACUAAAUGAAACUUACCAGUGCUGUUGAUUUGAUGACAUUAUCAAGGCUAUGGCCAGAAAUUACAUCCUCCUCCUCUUGCAAGCUGGAGAUCAUCACAUCCAUCAAGUCACUUUCAACCCUCUCUAUCUUGCCUUGAGCACUUGAUCUCUGGCGAUGUUCUUCAAGCCAUUUCCCAAGCACACAGUCAAGUUCCUUAAAACACCUUUUCAUGGAACCCACAUGCCCAAACAAGCUGUCCAGCCACUCAAGCCACGGCAUAGCAUCUGACCAAACAAAAACGCCAAACAGAUACAAAGCCUCCUUCACAGCCUUUUCAAAACGCCAAGCCUCACUGUUUUUCUCAUUAUAUUGCUCAGCUGUAAAUCUCUUCCCAGCAAUCAGCCUCACAUUUAUGUUGAACGUUAAGAACUCAAUUAACUCACUCAAAUGCACUGGCGUGGAGCCCGUUCCAUUCUUCGUGCAAAGUGAGAGCAGAUUUUUGAUGAACAAGUCAACCUCUGAGGUCCUAACGUGGCUCAACGUUUCGACUCUUUUGGUCGAGAGGAGCUCCAGCGUGGCCAGCUUGCGGAUGUGGCGCCAGUAGGGCCCGUAGGGGGCUAGGGAAAAAAGUGCAUUGUCGUAGCCCAAGUACUUGCCUCCUGCAAUGCUUGGUCGUGUGGCAAAAACUCUAUCGUUUGUUGUGAGACAUUCUUUGACUGUGUCCCAGGCGCUGAGGACCAGCACUUGGUGUUGGCCAAGCUUGAGGGAGAAGAUUGGUCCAUGGUCAUCGGCCAUGGCUCCCAGGGUUAGGGCAACUGGGUCUUUGCCACGUAGUAGAGGGAGGUGGCCUAUGAAGGGCCAUGCUCCUGAGGGUUGGGGGACUAAUUUGGUCGUCACAGUCGUCUUUGUGCUGGUGAUUUUCUUCUUAGUGUGAGCUGUGAUUCUCAAGGCAACAUAGAGAAAAAGCAAAGAUAAAAUGGUUCCAAGAAUUUGGAUAUCCAUGGUGGUGGUGGGAGAGAGAGAGAGUGUGUGUGUUACAAAUAUGGGAAUAUAAUUGCGUGUAGGAUUUCAUUUUGCAUGUGUAUUUAUAGACACGGUUUGACAAUGCAAUUUUUAGAAACAAGAUACGUCUCUUUCAAAAACAAACAAACAAAAAAAUUAGGUACGUGUACGUAUCACAUAAUGUUGAAUGCAGCAGCAGGACGAUUCGUAUCACAUGCAUUGAGAUACACAAUGGAUGCUCACCACAUCUCAAAUAUAUAGAAUAAUUAGAUAUUUAAUUUUUUUCUCUUUCCAACAUCUCUGGUCUUCAUUCACUGGAGUGUCGGUUGGAGUUUGAUACUUUAAAAUAUAUAUAUAUAUGCGGGAUAUUUUGACUUUAUAUAUUCGUAUAUACAUUACUACUAAAUUAUGAACAUACAAAUAGGUGUUUGUAGGCUUAUUAAAACUAAAUUAACUAACUGCGAGGUCUAACUUAUUGAAAAUAGGUCUUAAUUUGUAGACUAGUGGUCUCAAUCUCACAUGUUCAAACCCCAAUGAAUUAUGUAAAAAGCCUUUAUUUGUAUAAUGAACUCCUCCCCAUAUCUUUUGUAUUAAAAAAAUAUGUAAAAAUAAAUAUAUUAUUUUGUAGGUAUAUUAAUGUGUCUACCUAUAUGCUCAAGGUCAAUGUCCAUAGAUCUUAUUCAAAAUUGGGGACCUAAUUUUCUUUUUCUUGUUUGCCAUGAUUAUAUAGGAAACUAAUUCCUAGUUCCCAAUUGUUCAUGAAGAUGGAAUUGAUACCCUUUUUUUUCUUUGUACUCUACUUUUAAGUAGAAGUGAUAGUCUAAAUUAUAGGGAGGAGAUUUCACACACACAUAACCAAGAUGUUAUGGGAGUUCGAACCUGAGACCUCAAUACCAUUUUUCAUUAGCUAGGCUGAACCUUGUUCACUUUGUACUCGAGUUACACGACGGUAAUGUUUACUAUUUUGAUGCAUCCAGCUAGCUAGGUAACACUAACAAAUAGUAAAUCAAAAUAAUUUAAAGGUUCUUUUGUAUUAACGACAGUGCUGUUUCCUAUCUCAGGAAAAGCCAUGAGCGGUGUCGGUGCCGGUGCUGUAAAUGAUUGGACCCAGUACAGAGAGCAUUGGCACUGAGAUAUUUGAGGUCCGUGAGGGCAUUGCUGACUGUGAAAAAAAGAAAGACAAACUUACUUGGGCCCUAUAGAGGUCGUCCUCCUAAUAUGAUUUCAAACUUUCCAUGCCACUCGUAAAUAUUCAAAUACUCGUUAUUGGCGAUUUUCACACCUCAUAAACCCUAACAAAACAAAGCCUUCCAUUGCAUUGACAGGUGGCACAGUUCAUAUAUCAUUGAACAACCAUUACGUACCAAAUUAACACGUGACUUCUAAAUUCCUAUAGUAAAUUCUGGGUGGCUAUGAAUUCUAAGGUUAAACGUGUGGAAGAAAAAACACAUGAAUCAAACACAGAAAGAGAUGUUCUACAAGGUUGCUCCUUCGAUGUAAAUCCUGGUUGAAAAGUAUGAGGCCUUUGAAAACAUAUGGACGAGAUUUCGUUGCCAGUUGAAAAAUAUCAGCCACAAACCGAAAUGGAAUCUCAUUGUUAUCUUUACAUAGCAUACUGAUAGUGAUGAUACUUUGAUGUGGGGAUCUUGGUCGAAAACGUUUUCCACGUAUCGAUGGUUUAUGUUAUAACACAUGAAUAAUAAUGUUACACUUGUAUACCAAUCAAACCUUGCCAACGGGGUGUAUUUCAGUGGACAAAAGUGCAUUGAUUUGUAGACCAACAGUAUUAAGUUUGAACCCUCUUUUUUUUUUCCGGUAGUUAGAAACAAGUUUUAUUAAGAAGCACAAAAGAGAGCAAAACAAAAUUGAGGCCACCACAAGAAACCAAUGGCCGAGCCAUGCGAAAAACCCACUACAUAGAUAAAGUUCACUACAAACAUAAAGCCCACAAAAAAAAUAUUCCAUAACUUAUCAACUGUUUGUGCAGGUGGAUAAAAUAAGGGAUAGUCUGAAUUUGGGUUCAUAUAUAUAUAUAUAUAUAUAUAUUUUCAAACGAUGGAAUUUGGGUUCAUAUAUUGGUUUCUUAGUAAAAUUGUAGUAAUUGUUUCUCAAAUAAGACCAUACUUUUCGUUUCUCAACUCCAAAAAUUGUUAUAAACUGUGUAAUGACCCAUACUUUUCGUUCAAUAACUUAUCAACUGUGUAAUGACCCAAACCUAAAAUUCAUAUUUAAUUAGUAAUUUAUUAUGUGGAAAGACAAUUUUGCCCUUAGAAUAAUUUAAUAACGAAAAGUUGAUUUUUUGACCGAAAGAAAUUUGACAAUUUCACAUACACCGUUGCGUAGAGCACCACGACACGAGUUCGUAGACACGAAGUGGACUCGAAUAGGAGUUUUAACAAAGAAAAUACGAUUAAAAUAUCAUGAGGGGUAAAAUGGUAAAUUAAAAAAAUCAGAUUUUUAAAACCUCACUUCUCUAUCUUCUCCCUCAGUUUCCUCUCUCUCUCUCUCUCUCUCUCUCUCUCUCUCUCUCUCUCUCUCUCUCUCUCUCUCUCUCUCUCUCUCUCCCUCCCGCUGUCUUCCUCCAGCCGUCACCUUCCAAGCGCCAGAACUCCCGCCACCGACCACCUCUGCCCCUGCCGUCAGUGCCAACAGGACCAGCUCGGUUCCGUCUUCAAGCCCAGACCACUCUCCGAUACCAGCCACCGCUGUUUUCGCCGGAUUCCGUCCAAAAACGAGCUGGUUUUGCAUAGUUUUGCAACCGUUCGUUCUCCUUCAAUUCUCCUCCAAAUUUGUCGAGUAAGGUAUGGAUUUCUACCUAUUUUCCAUGCUCUAGCUGAUGGUUGGGUAGGUUUGCAUCGAUUUUGACCGUAGCUAGCUCAGUUUUCAAAUUGAAAUUCGACCGAUUUUCGGCCUCCGUGUUCGGCCACUUCCGGUCAGUUUUUGGGUAGAUCCAAGAACAAAAGUGGUUCUAAAUAUAGUGUUAUACAUAGGGUAGGAGUUUGGAGCCGUGAUUUUGAGAUUUUCCGGUGAUGCGUAAUAGCUUUGGACACCCAGCGCUGCCGGCGCGUGGGCGAGGGUGGUGCAGUGACACUACAUCCUGAUGCAAUCCUUAGGUUGUCACGAGCGCGUAGGAAUUCGCGGAUCUCAAUUUGGAUACCGUUUGAGCCUCGAACGAAUUUUCCAUAUUGUGCGAUCUCCGGGUUCAAUACUGUUGAGCCGUUGGAUCGGAAUCAAUUUUAGAUAUGUUACUCUAGAUAAUUUUAAAAACGUGUAGGACUCGACGGAUUGUGAAACGGAGUCCCGGAUACUCCGACAUCGCGAAUCCUAGGGCUAGGGUUUAGGAAUUAUGCGAUUACACGAUUGUGAUCAAUCCGACCGUCCGAUCGACACCAAUACCCUCGGGACAUGUGUCCUAAAUAUAUUAGACCUUCUAACGGCUUCCGUAUCAUCUUGUGAGGUCAUAGACCCGUGGGGUCCCGGGUUGAUCGUUUUGGGACUUUAACGUUUUUUGAGUCCCAAGAUACCGCUAAACUAUCCCACGUGGAAGGAAAGCUUUUAUGGACAUAGGGAUAACUUUAAAUUGACGCACGUACUUUUAGGAGCCGGGAGUAGGGUUUUUAAGUUCAUACUAUAUUAUAUUAAUAGAUUAUUAUGGUCAUUGAAUCAGGCACCCGGGCACCAGUUGACCCGCAGGAGUGACCUUCAAGAGGUCUAGCGAGCUUGGACUAUCACUGAGUGGACUCUUUGUUUUAAUAAAUGAAUUCAAGCAGUUCAGUUUCAGUUAUAAGCUGUUUUAUUCUGUUAAAUAUUUUAUGUUGUAUGCUGCCGAGUAAAAACUUUUUUAAAGAAUAUAGGAAAAGAUAUUCUCGUUAAUGAUCAGAUAAAUGGCAGCAGAAUUUUAAAGGUUACAGAAAGUUAAUUAUUCAACAGUUUUACUUCAGAAACUUUAUAUUUUCUUAAACCACCUUGUACCCAGAUAUUAAAUGUUGCCUUCGGAUUAUAUUGGUUGCCUUCGGUUUAGUCAGCAUGCUUGACAGUUACCCCACGAGUUCCUUGGUACUCGAACUCGUGUGGAGCGAGUAAUGCGGAUCAGGUGGACCACGGUCCCCUGCAUCCUACCAGUUGCAGCUCGGACUGACUUCGUGUCACUGAGAUCUGCGAGUAUGUGUCACCCAUGGUGAUGCAAGGAAUUGACGGAUAUAAGAAAUUGACAGAAAUAAGGGUACACCUAGGUGAUAGUUUUAAACUGUUCUCAAAUGUAUAAUUAUAUACAUGCAUUGAUUUCAAAAAUAAAGAAAAUAAGUUAGUUUGUAUAACUGUUUUUACAGUGGGGUUAGUAUGUUCAUAUGCUAUUUUUCUAAACUUUGUUUUUGAGUCCACUCACCCUUCUUAUUGUUUUGCACCCCCAGGCAGUAGACGUGCACAGGAAUCCACCACCGGGCCAUUUUCCAUCUUCCGCGCCUUUCUUUUGAUGUAGGAUUUUUGUUUUGUAAAAGAAUUGAUUCCUUGUAAAUUCUUAGUAAUUGCUCUGAUGUUUUGCCCUAGACUGAGAAUGGAACUGUUGGAAUGUAUAUAUACGUAUGCUGGCAGUUAGUUGUAUAUAUAUAUAUAUAUAUAUAUACUUGUUUGGCAGGUAAAAAUGUUUUGGUAUUGAGCCAGUUAUAAAGGAAACUCUACCGGUUUUUCAGUAGACGUUAACCUUAUUAAUUUACCAUGUUUUGUAUAGAAGGGCAAAUAGGUCAUUUGUGCCAGACAUUCGCCAGGUGUCGGACACGCACAGGGUCUGGCUCGGAUUCCAAAGCGGAAUUUGGAUCGGGUCCUGUCAAACUGUUUGUGCAGGUGGAUAAAAUAAGGGAUAGUCUGAAUUUGGGUUCAUAUAAUUUUUUUUUUCAAACGAUGGAAUUUGGGUUCAUAUAGUUGUUUCUUAGUAAAAUUGUAGUAAUUGUUUCUCAAACAAGACCAUACUUUUCGUUCCUCAACUCUAAAAAUUGUUAUAAUCGUCCUUCAAUUAGAUCUAUCGUUGCAUCACUCGUCCUUUCCGUCAGUUCUGUUGUUUUUCCUUCAAAAUUAAUGGUAAAUUAGAAAAUUCAUAUCAAAUUUUAUUAGAUAAAUAAACUCAUUCAUAAAAAUGAAAAUAAAAACCAGUCUCCCCACCCCCACCAAGCAACUGAACCAACCACUGGCAUUGCCCCUACCCCUACCCCUACCCCUACCCCCUCCCUCGGAUAAAGACCUCUCUCUCAAUUUCCUGCAAUACAGAACCAAAUGCCACCAAGUCAUAGAAGCUCCAGAAUGCAAGAACAGCCACAAUAUACCAUCAACAAAAUCUACUUUUUUUUUAUCAACACAGAGAGUCAUUGUCCCCUACCUGCCGUUCGGGGUCUACCAAAAAUCACAAACCCACCCCCAAAAAAGAGAGAAAAAAAGAAAAUGGCUUUAUCUCCUUCCUCCUUCCCACUUUCCCUUUCUGUGAGUGCCUGUAAUCUAAUAAUGGCUUCCAUUUCCAAACUCUCCAAUCCAGCACUGCUUCAUACUUAUCGUCCACUUUUUUUUAAUCGAGAGAAGGGGGAGUAGGGGUAGGGUUUCGGGUAGAAGGAGGUGGUGACUAGGUAGUCUUAUAAUACCCAAACCACCAUAUUGUAAUUCAUGAUUCAAUACCUUCUGUCACGUGUCUGUUAGUUAGGGAUGAGCUGGCUGUUAGUUUCUGUUAACUUAAUUUGCUAGUUAGUUAGCUAAAAUAUAUAUAAGUCUUGAACUGUAAGUUCUGGAAUUCAUCUAAUGAGAAAAUCAGUUUCACAAUAUAUCAGUUUCUCUCUGUUUCUGUUUCUUUCUCUCUCGAUACCUCUAUUUCUCAAAGCUUACUUGAGCUCAUCAAUGGCUUCAAUGAAGAAAGCUUUCAUUAUUUGCCCCUAAAAUUUAAUAUGAAUUUCACAAUUUGCCCUUAAUUUUGACAAAAAAUUUAACAGAAUCAAGAGAAGUACGACUAGUGCAAUGCAAUAUCUAAAUAAAGGACGAUGAUGACAAUUUUUGGGGUUGAGGAACGGAAAGUAAAAUGGGGCCAUAUUUGAGGGACCAUUGCUACAAUUUUACCUUGUUUCUUCAAAACUUUGUUUUAAGUACUGUUUUUUAUUUUAUUUUAUUUAGUAAUGAACGAAGUUUUAAGUGUUAUUUGUGAAGAGCCACUGUAUGAAUUUUACAAACAAAUCAAUUAAAUUUCAUAUAGAACCCAAUUUUUUUCAGAAGUAGAAAGUCAAUAUAAUUGUCACAAACUCACCUAUUGGAAUCAGUUUUGCAAAGGAGGGAGUACUAUUAUUACUUCAUCAAAACUGAUCAAAUGGGGUAAGAAAAACAACCCUCGUUGAACAUCAUGGGUUGGGCUUGGGCACGAAAAACCAGAGUGUUUCUGCAACCUGGAAGUUAUUGACUGAAAGGGUGAGACUGAAGGAAAAAAAAAAACUACGAGGACGAAAGUGAAAAUUUGUGUAAUAAGAACGACCAUUAAUCUUGUAAUGGUCAAAUAUUAAAAUUACAAAACCCCCCGGAAUAUUAAAAAAAAUAUUUAAACCAGAUGUAACCUCCAAAUAAACGUAAAAAUACAUAUCAAAUUCACCAGUUGCAAGCAGGGAUCGUAUCAAAUUCACCAGUUACCAGUUGCAAAUUGUCACCAUAGUCAGCCAGCCCUCAUGGAUUUUCUUUCUCAUCUAUACUAGCAAUUGUAGGGUUUUUAUAGAGGUGAAGAGGAAGGCGUGGAGAUAGCAAAGCCUCCAGGGGAUUUGCUUUGGGCAGGGCAAGCCCCAGCCCUUCACGCAUGUCCACUGCCUCCUCACAAACCCUGCUCAUAUCAAAACCCUGAACCAAACGAGCUAGAAUUAAUUGGACCACUUGCAGCCCCAAAACCAUGCCAGGGCACGACCUCCUACCCGAGCUGAACGGAAUAUACUCAAAAUUAUUCUGAUCUUUGAAUUCCACGUCAGCAUGGGUGGUCAUGAACCUCUUGGGUUGGAAUUCACCUGGGUUGGCCCACAUGCGUGGGUCCCGCUGCAGUUUCCAAAUGUUGACUAGUACACGGGUGCCCUUGGGCACAUGGUAGCCAGCCAGAUGGCAAUCCUCCGUGGCUUCACGCAGGCCUGCAAGUGGGCCAGGUGGGUAUAUGCGUAGGGUUUCUUUGAGAAUGGCUUGGAGGUAUUUGAGGUUAGGGAGGUCUGAUUCUUGUACCCAUCUGUCUCUUCCUACGUGGAUGUCCAGUUCUUGUUGGGCAGCUUUCAGGGUUGUUGGGUUGUUCAGUAGUAGGGAGAGUGCCCAUGUUAGAGUGACGGAUGUGCUUUCUGUGCCAGUUAGGAUUAGAACCUGCCAAAAGCAAUUAAGGAAAACAAUUAACAUUUGUAUAAUAAUUAAAAGACCCCUUUCUGAUAAUAAUAUUAUGUGUGGAAACAAUAGGAGGGAGCCUUGGUCGCCUCAAGCUUGCAUAUGGCUUCACCAUCACGUGACAUUCUGAUCAGGGGAGGAGCCAAAAUUCAAUGUCUAGGGGAUUAUAAGCUGAAAUUUUAUCAUACACAUAUGCUAAAGGGAUGGGGGAAAAAAGAGCCACUUCUGGCCUAGGCCUCCUUCUGUCCUUGAUUUACCAUUCAGAUAUUGAGUUCAAAGUUAUUAAGAUUUGCACACUUUCAUUUUAUAAUUUGAUGAGUAAAUUCGUAAUCUGACGGCUCCAUUCUAGUUAGUGUUUGUUGUUGAAUAGCUUUAUAUUGUUACACUAAAUUAAACUUACCAGUGCUGUUGCUUUGAUGACAUUAUCACGGCUAUGGCCAAAAAUUACAUCCUCCUCCUCUUGAAAGCUGGACAUCAUCACAUCCAUCAAAUCACUUUCAACCCUAUCGAUCUUGCAUUGAGGCCUUGAUCUCUGGCGAUGCUCUUCAAGCCAUUUCCCAAGCACACAGUCAAGUUCCUUAAAACACCUUUUCAUGGAACCCACAUGCCCAAACAAGAUGUCCAGCCACUCAAGCCAUGGCAUAGCAUCUGACCAAACAAAAACGCCAAGCAGAUACAAAGCAUCCUUCACAGCCUUUUCAAAACGCCAAGCAUCGCUGUUUUUCUCAUUAUAUUGCUCAGCUGUGAAUCUCUUCCCAACAAUCAGCCUCACAUUUAUGUUGAACGUUAAGAACUCAAUUAACUCACUCAAAUGCACUGGUGUGGGGCCCGCGCCAUUCUUCAUGCAAAGUGAGAGCAGAUUUUUGACGAACAAGUCAACCUCUGAGGUCCUAAUAUGGCUCAGCAUUUCGACUCUUUUGGUCGAGAGGAGCUCCAGCAUGGCCAACUUGCGGACGUGGCGCCAGUAGGGCCCGUAGGGGGCUAUUGCAAAAGCGGCGUUGUCGUAGCCCAAGUACUUGCCUCCUGCCAUGCUUGGUCGUGUGGCGAAAACUCUAUCGUUUGUUGUGAGGCAUUCUUUGACUGUCUCCCAGGCACUGAGGACCAGCACUUGGUGCUGGCCAAGCUUGAGUGAGAAGAUUGGUCCAUGGUCAUCGGCCAUGGCUCCCAGGGUUACGGCGACUGGGUCUUUGCCACGUAGCAGAGGGAGGUGACCUAUGAAGGGCCAUGCUCCAGAGGGUUGGGGGACUAAUUUGGUCGUCACGGUCGUCUUUGUGCUGGUGAUCUUCUUCUUAGUGUAGGCUAUGAUUCUCAAGGCAACGUAGAGAAGAAGCAAAGAUAAAAUUGUUUCAAGAAUUUGGAUUGGGGAAAUUGUAAAAUCCAUGGUGGUGAUGGGGGAGAGAGAGAGAGAGAGAGAGAGAGAGAGAGAGAGAGAGAGAGAGAGAGAGAGAGAGUGUGUGUGUGUGUGUGUGUGUGUUAUACAAAUGGGAAUAUAAUUGCGUGUAGGAUAUAAUUCAUUUUGUAUAUGUAUUUAUAGAGGUUGCGUCUUCAGUUGCUUUUCACAUACUGUUGGACUCAUUACAGUAAAAAGAUAUUUCUCUCGAGAUCUUGGACAAAUCACAAGAUGACAUAUGCAGCUAUUUUGAUGCAUCCAUAUUGUUAAAACAUGAAGUCAAGUCAGCCAUCAUCGUUGAAGACAAUACUCCCAAGAAUAUGUUCCCAUUUUUAGUCCCCAUGCACUGAUUGAUCAAUGUUUUCUAUUUUCUAUCCUUUCAUUCAAAUAGAUUAUUCAGUUUCUUAACACAUAUUGGGUACGUACUGAGAUACACAUUGGUUUUCAUUCACUGGAGUGUCGGUUGGAGUUUGUACUCUACUUAUAUUUUGAUGCAUCAAGCUAGCUAGCUAACACUAACAAAGCCUUGAGUGGUGCCGGUGCUGUAAAUGAUUGGACCCAGUAUAGAGCAUGGCACUGAGAAAUUUGUAAUCCGUUAGGGCAUUGCUGAGUUGUGAAAAGAAAAAAAAGACAAACUUACCUUCUUCGAGACUUUUUUUGGUUGCAAAAAUUAGGGAAAAAAACACAUCAAACAUAGAAAAAAAACGUUGUACGAUCGAUCACGAUUCUUUAUCCUAGGGUGAAACAUGUUCUACAAAGUGUAAACACAUGGGCGAGAUUUCGUUGCCAUUUGAAAAAUAUCAGCCAGAAGCUGAAAUGUAAUCUCAUUAUACUUUGAUGACUUAUAUUAGUCCAUUGGGUGGGGGCCUGGGUCGAAAACGUUUUCCACGUAUUGCUGGCUUUAUUUAUGUUCGUUCACAUGAAUAAUAAUGUGAAACUUUGAAUACCAAUCAAACUGUGCCAACGUGUUGUAUCAAUCUAGACCAAAAGAACAUUGACUUGUAGAUAAAUGGUUUUACGUUUUUUUUGGAUGAAAACUUGUGUAAUAAGAACGAUUAUUGAUACAAUUUGGCCAUUAAUUAAUCUUGUAACAAUCAAAUAUUAAAAUCACAAUUCCCGAAUAGUUAAAAUUGUGAAUGUAAAGACAAACAAGCCUUAAAAGUUAAAAUUGUGAAUGUAAAGACAAACAAGCCUUAAAAGUGAGAAUUUAGGAUAUGCCAUUUUUCAAUAAUAUGAGUUGAAUAUUAUAAUUGCAUCCUUGAAAUUAACCCAAUAUUAGGUACUCAAAUCUUGCAAGCAGAAGACAGAAUUAACAACAUCAUCCAACUCAAAUUUAAACAACCCACGUGCAUGGGAAUAUAUCCUUGAAUUUGAGUGGCCCAACAUGUCAUCUUUCCUUAUCUAUGCUUUUACCACCAACAAACCAUAAAUUAAUUGGAAGUUCACUUUUGUCACCAUUGCCAGCCAUCCCUCAUGGAUUUUCUUUCUCAUCCGCUAGCAAUUGCUGGUCUUUUGGUCUUGGUCCAGUAUUCCAAAACUUCCACUCCUUGAUCAUCACUGGACCUCGUGAAUACUCGUAACUAUUCAUACCACAACUCGCUCAGCAAGCUCUAGGCAUUCGCGUGGCUUGGGCCCACUUAAGCUUGUAGCGUGGCUUGUUGCUUAUUUGCUUGACAUGACAUGUGCGCAAGCGCAUCAACCUUCGCGUGCCCAAAUCGGGUUUCUUCUUGGUAGGGUAUCGCAUUGGGCCGGAAAUAUAUUUGGGCCUAGCCUUGAAUUUUUUGGGCCUCAACAAACUUAAAUAAACAAGUAAUUUUAAAAAUUAAAAAAAACUAAAACCCUAAACCAGGUAACGUUAUCAAUCUUCUGCAGCCUCUCUUCUGUUUUCUUCUUUUCAUUUUUUUGCUUUUCAAUGUCUUCUUUCAGCCCAAUAACUUAUUCUACCCAUUCGAUUCGAUUAUAUAUAUUUCUUUUCUAUAUUAAACUAAUUCCCUAAAGUUGUCGUAAGAUUGGAUUUUGAAGAUUGGCAAGAAUUGAUUAUGAUAUUGGAUGAAAAGAGACAGUAUUUACAUAGGGACGAUUCCCUCUGGUUGUAAGAUUGGACUUUUCUUCCUCUUGUUACUGAGAGACUUGGUUGGUUCCCUCUGGUUAUGCUUAUCUCGUCUUGUCGUUUGCGUGAUGCGUUUGUUCUUGUUGGUGGUUAUAUUGUCUUUGUCUUUCAAUCAAGUUUCUUGUGGAGCCCGGAAAAGAAAGGGAAGUUGCAGGCUUGACGUUGAACUCGUAGAGUUAGUAAUUAUUGUUGAUUAUUAAGGAGUGUCGACUAUUAAUUAUUAUUUCUUUCAAUGUGAUGUCUCAACUUUCAAGCCUUUGGAUGAAAUUUAAAUGAUGUGGCGUGUGGAGAGUAAAAGACAAGCAUAUCAUGGCAGUGAAAAUCUAAGUAAAGGAAACAAUCCUUCUAACGGAAGAGCCACACUACAAAAAAUUUACAAAUCUAGGGUACUUAAUUGUUAAAAUUGAGAAUAUAGGGACAAACAUGCAUUAAGAGUGAGAGUUUAGGAUACCAAACGGAAAUUAACCCAAUAUUAAAUAUAAGCCAUUUUUCAAUGAUAUGAGUUGAAUGUUAGAAUUGUAUCCAAGUACUCAAGUCUUGCAAGCAAAAGAAAGAAUUAACAACAUUAUCCAACUCAAAAUUUUCAACCCAUGUGCAUUGGAAGGUCGUCCUUGGUGAAAACCAAAUAUCAUUCCCAAAACCUUAGUCAAUGAAGAAACAUUAACCAUUCAAAUAUAUCCUUGAAUUUGAGUGGCUAGUGGCCCAACAUGUCAUCUUUCCUUAUCUAUGAGAGUACAGCUUUUACCACCAACAAACCAUAAAUUAAUUGGAAGCACACUUUUUUCACCAUAGCCAGCCAUCCCUCAUGGAUUUUCUUUCUCAUCCGCUAGCAAUUGCAGGUCUUUUGGUCUUGGUCCUGUAUCUAUGGAGGCUGAGGAUCCAGAGCCACAAAAUCAAGGGCAUGUUGGCCCCGCAACCAUCAGGUGCCUUGCCAAUCAUAGGUCACCUCCACAAGCUACGUGGCCCAAUUUUCAAAACCCUAGCAGCCAUGGCUGACAAGUAUGGCCCUAUCUUCACCAUAUGGCUUGGCAAGCACCCUGUACUUGUGAUCAGCAACUAUGAUGCAGUCAAGCAAUGCUUCACCAAAAACGACACAGUGUUUGCAACUAGAUCAAGGUCCACAGUAGGCAAGUACCUUGGCUACAACUAUGCAGGAUUUGGGUUCUCACCAUAUGGCACAUACUGGCGUGACAUGAGAAAAAUGGUCAUGGUUGAGUUGCUCUCUAGCCGCAGGCUUGAGACUUUAAAACGUGUCCAAAUUUCUGAGGUUGAUGCUUUCAUUAAAGGGUUGUUUUUGCUUUGCAAAACAGAAGGGCACAAUGGUCUAAAUCCAACCAAGGUCGUGAUCAGUGAUUGGAUUGAGCACCUGACUUUGAAUGUAAUUACUAGAAUGAUUGCUGGGAAGAGAUAUUUUGAUAGCUCAGAUGAGGGAGACGAGCAAAGGUUUGGGAAAAUUCUGAAGGAGUUUAUGUAUGUGUCAGGAAAUCCAGUUGCUGCUGAUGUAAUUGGUUUUCCAAGUUGGAUUGAUUUUAAGGGGCAAGUUAAAGCUAUGAAGCGUAUUAUGAAGGAGUUAGAUUCUGUCAUGGGAAGUUGGGUUGAAGAACAUUAUGCAAAGAAAGAGACUAACUCAAGGGACGAGCAUGACUUCAUUGAUGUCAUGAUAUCUGUGAUUGAGGACAAUUCCACGCUUGGCUAUACACGUGAAACGAUCAUCAAGGCAACAUCAUUGGUAUGUUUAUAUGCCUAAUCAUAUGAAAAAAAACCACAGUUACACAUGAUUUUUAACAUCUGUGGUGGUAAAUCUAUUAAUGUUUCUCAUUGUUUUUUUAGUAAAGUUUUCAUCUUUUUUAUUUUCAAGUGAUGAAAUGAUAGCUCAAAACUACCCAAAAAACAAAGCAAGAAACUAUUUUUUAUAAGAAAAAGGAAUGUAAAAGUUCAUCAAAGUAAAGAAAAGCUGGACUAUCUUUUAAAAGUACACAAAAGUUUCCAACUUGUUGAAUUUUUUGUUAAAUUCAGAAAGACGGGCCAACGGUCCACUACUAACAAUACCGAUAUUGUCUCCAACUUAACCACCUACAAAGUCCAGUAGAUGUGAGGUUUUAUCACAAAGGCCUCGGUGAUAUUAGUAGUGGAACCAUUAAUUCAUUAUAUCUUAUAUUUUAUUUAGUCAAGUUUCCGACGUAUGACUUAUAUUCUUCAAUAUUUUUUAGGGUCAGGGGCUGUAUAUUUUGCAAAUUGCAACACUUUAGAUUGUUUGUUGUUCACAAUUUUCAACUUUUCAUGUUGCAGAAUCUUAUUCUAGCUGGUUCAGAAACCACAGCAAUCAACUUGAUAUGGAUCCUCUCUUUACUGUUAAACAAUAGGCACGUUUUGAAGCUUGCCCAAGAAGAGCUAGACCUCAAAGUUGGCAGGGACAGAUGGAUUGAAGACACUGAUAUCGAAAACCUACCUUACCUCCAAGCCAUUGUCAAAGAAACACUGCGCCUCUACCCACCAGCCCCACUCUCAGUGCCUCAUGAAGCAAUGCAAGACUGUCAAGUUUGUGGCUUUCACAUCCAAAAAGGCACCCUUUUGUUUGUGAAUCUGUGGAAAUUGCAUAGAGACCCAAGUUUGUGGCCAGACCCUGAAGUGUUCUGCCCGGAGAGAUUUCUCACAACCCAUGUAGGAAUUGAUGCCUCUGGUCAACAUUUUGAGUUCAUCCCAUUUGGGUCUGGAAGAAGGUCUUGUCCAGGUGCCACAUUUGCAUUGCAAGUUACCCAUUUGACACUUGGACGCUUGCUUCAAGGGUUUGAAUUGGCAACACCUAUGGACAUGCCUGUGGACUUGACUGAAGGGGUAGGCAUUACCAUGCCAAAGUCAACUUCCCUUGAAGUUAUCUUAACCCCAAGGUUGCCCCUUGUAUUCUAUGAAGAUAGGUAGUGAAUUGCAUUUGGUACUUUGCUCUAGUUUAUGAGAUGAGGAAAUAAAGUAAUGGUCUUUCCUUCUUUUUUCUUUUUAUUAAUGAGAGGUAAGUGAAGAUUUGAAUAUUUAUACAUAAAUACAUGCAUCACUAGUAAUUUAUGAAUAAAGAACCACCACCACCCACCACUAGGGGUGGGUACGGUUUGGUUUGGUCCGGUUUCACCCUCAAACCACAGUUGAACUAAUUAAACUUUUACGGUUCGGUGUGGUUCGGUUUGAGCUAAAAUUAAAAUGAAAACUGAACCAAAUUAACCAAACCAUUCAUAUCCAGUUCGGUACGGUUUGGUUCGGCCAGUUUAGCAUAAAAGAAAACAUCAUUUUCUCUGUGUCACCGAACAUGUUCAUUCUCAAGUUCCCUAAUAUCAAACGCAUAAAACAUUCACUAAUCAUACAAGAGGUAAAGAAAAAACAUACAAAGAAAAGAAGCUGCAAGCAAUAAUAAUUAUUAGAGAACAUGAUUCUCAGAGAAAUACAAUCUUAUUGUGCUUAAUUAUAUAGUUAUUACAAAGGAAAAAAUAGGACUGGUGGUUUGGUGGCAAUUCUCCACACUUGUAUCUUCCCAAGUGCUGCACCAGCUUUUGUGUGGUAUUAAAAACACUGAGGAGGCAUGAGAUUCCUCUGUUGGUUUCCUCCCCACGCAUGUCUCUUCUGUUGUUCACAACAUUUGAUCUUCUCUCUUGUGAACAGGCAUCAAGCAUUAAUAUCACAUAAGCAACAUUUUAUAUACAUUAUUCUAUGAAUAAAACUAAAUCAAAGCAAGGUAUGCUACAGUCUUUUUGUACAAUAAAAUAGAUUAGCAUAUUUUACAACCAUAAAAAUGAAAAAUUAGGCCUCAUAGAAAAUACCAUUUUAUUUUUCAACUCUCUAACUUUUUAUAUAUAACCAGUUAUUGGAGACAAUACAAAAAAUAAAGUAGUAGACAUAACUAGCAUAUUUUACAAACCCAGCUGAUGAUGACGAUCCACCACCAACAAUAUUCCCAUAAUCAAUCCUUGCAUAACCUGGUGGUCGAUGAUGGAACUUGGGUUUUGUAGAGAUGGAUUUCGCUGAGGACAAAUGGGUGGGUUUCGCUGAGUUUGAAUCAUGUUGGCUUGAGUUAGCGUCGAGGGAGAGGGAGAGGGAGAUGUAGCAGAGAGACAAAGAGAGAGGGAGAGGUAGCAGAGAGAGAUGGAGAAAUAAUGAGAGGGAGUUGCGGCUAGGGUUAAGAGACGAAGGAAGGGAGAUAGGAGAGAGGCUCUUCUGAGGGAGAGAGAAUGGUUAGAUAACUUAGAUGUGUCCGUGAGUUGUAGUUUUGGAGUCCAAUCAAGUGUUGCAGGGUACAUGGUACACUCUUAAAUAACCACUCAAACCUUGCCACAUAUAAACUAAAUUAAAUAAAUAAUAAAUUGAUUUAUAAUCGGUCCGGUUCGGUUUAGGACAGUUUUUAAAACUCUCAAACCACAGCUGAACCAAACCAAACCGGUUCGGUUCGGUUUUUCAAAAUGUUGACUUUUUCUUUGAUCAAAACCAAACCAAACCAAUCCAAUAUAAUCGGUUCGGCCGGAUUGACCGGAUCGGCCGGAUUGAUGCCCACCCCUACCACCACUCCUAGUUAGUGGCUGAUCAACUAUACAACCAGCUCUCACUUGGGAAAAUAUGAUUAAUUGCACCAGCUGCACAAGCUGCCCCCAACCAACUACCUAUUGUGCUGCUCCUGCUACCUAUUGUAAUUAAUACAGAGCUUGAUUAGCAGGCCUUCCCUUUGUUUAAAUUCUGCUGUAAAUAAUUCAUAGAAUUAAUGAAAUAUUGAAACCAGAAAACUUCUCUUCUUAAAGUAUCCAUAAUGAGCUCCAUAAAUCACCUUCUUAGACAAAUUUUAGGGAGGAAUCGUAAAAAUGCAACUCUAACCAUGCUCCCUAUCCAACUCCUAAAAUAAGGAGUCCUCUAGGAGCUCCUAAAUCUGAGGAGAGAGAAAGGACUCCUAGUGACUCCUUAUAAUUUAAUGCUGCUUUAUUUAAUGAGUAUUUCAAACCUUUAUUUAAUGCUAACUAUUUUUUAUUUUAUUUUUUAAUAGAGAUGGACCAAUCAAAAAAGAGUUAUAGCAUUUAUUACUCUCCAAAUUAGGGAGGAUGGUUGGAAUUGAAAUUUUUUAGAGAGCUCCUAAAAUAGCUUUCUUAUAUUUUUACCUAAAUUUUAGCUAAGAAAUAUAGAACAUCAUUGUGGAUGUUCUUACACUCUAUUUGGCAAAACUUGGGUUCGAUACUUUCGAUACAUUAGCUAUUGCGAAGGCAAUGGAGCUGGUGGUAUCACACAUUUGUUAUGUUUCUUUUGUUGUUCAAUGAAUUUGGGUUUUUCGCAUUUUGGUUGGGGAGAUGGUGUAAAGGAAUUGUAAUUCACAUUAACUGUAAGAAUGUUUUGUACAAGCUUUAUAUGAAAUUACAAUGAUGAGCUGUCAAAUACAGCUGUAUAAGAUUAGUUACAGAUGGCUAACUAACUAACAAACUAUUUACUGCCUUUAGCUCCUCUCAAGCUGAAGGGAGGAGAACGCACUGUGAGCUUGGUGAGAAGAAGAGAAUGUCUGGCAGCAGAUAAAGGUUUGGUAAAGAUAUCAGCAAGUUGAUGUUCAGAGGAAACAAAUUUAACAGACAAGAACCUUUGUUGAACCAAUUCCCUAGUAAAGUGAUAAUCAACCUCUACAUGUUUAGUCCGGGCAAUAAACACUGGAUUGGAAGCAAGAUGGAUGGUAGAUUGAUUGUCACACCAAAGAAGUGGAAAAGAAGGCAACUGAAAACCAAUGUCCUUGAAUAACUUGGACAAAUAGAGCAACUCAACAACAGUCAUAGCCAGACCACGAUACUCAGCUUCAGUAGAGCUGCGAGAUACUGUCGGUUGCUUCUUAGCUGACCAGGAAAUUAAGUUGGAACCAAGAAAGAUACACCAGCCACCGGUAGACCUCAGAUCAAUAGGACAAUCAGCCCAAUCAACAUCCGUGAAGGCUUGCAAACCAAGAGAACCCUUAGUAAACCAGACCCCCAUGUCAAUGGUGCCUUUAAGAUAACGAAGAAUUCGUUUAACAGCACCCAAGUGAUUAGAACGAGGCUAAUGCAAGUGCUGACAAACAAGAUUAACAGCAUAGGAUAGGUCUAGUCUAGUCCAGGUAAGAUACUGAAGGGCACCCACAGUAGAGCGAUAGAAAGUAACAUCUUCAAGAAUAUCCCCAGAAUUAUCCAACUUGUAAGAACCAAGGGGAGUUGAACAAGAACUAGCCCCAAGAAAAUUUAUUUUCUUGAGAAGAUCACAGGCAUAUUUCGUUUGAGAAAGAAACAUACCUUGGGCAGAAUGGGUGACCUCUAAGCCAAGGAAAUAGUGUAAGGGACCAAAAUCCAUAACUGGGAAUUUUGCACUGAGAUGAGAAAUAAAAGAGGUACAAUCUGUGUUGCAGUUUCCAGUUACCAAAAUAUCAUCAACAUAGACCAAAACAAGAGCAAGAGAAGCACUACUUGACUUAAUGAAAAGAGAAGAAUCAGCCUGAGAAGAUCGAAACCCCAGAGAAACCAAGGCUUUGAACAAUUCAUCAUACCAUGCCCUAGGAGCCUGUUUUAAGCCAUCCAAGGAUCUAUGGAGCUGACAAACAAAAUGAGGCCUGGUAGGAUCGGCAAAACCAGGUGGCUGAGACAUAAAAACAUUUUCCUUCAAAAAACCAUGAAGGAAAGCAUUACUCACAUCCAAUUGAUUUAAGAACCAAUCAUACUGAACUGCCAAAGAGAGAAGAAGUCUGAUCGUAGUAGGUUUAGCCACAGGGCUGAAAGUUUCAUGAAAAUCCAAGCCUUCCCGCUGAUGAUACCCCUUAGCAACCAAACGAGCCUUGAAUUUGUCAACAGUACCAUCAGGCUUAAACUUAGUGCGAAAAACCCACUUAGAACCAACUAAAUUCUAAUAUGGAGUUUGAGGGACUAAAGUCCAGGUUUUGGUUUGUUCCAAAGCAGCAAGUUCACUCUUCAUGGCCUCAACCCACACUGAAUGUUUAGCAGCCUGUUUAUAAGUAGUGGGAGUGGGAGGAAGAAGAGCAGUAGAAUGUAAAGAAGAAGGCAAGGGAUGCCUAGUGGCCGUAAGAUCCUUAGGUUUAAAAAUACCAUGUUUGGAACGAGUGAUCAUAGGAUGAGUGUUUUGAACAGGGAUAGAAGAAGAAUGAACAGAUAAUGAAGAUGGAGAAGGGGGAGAAACAGAUGGCACAGAAGAGGGAGGAGGGGAGGAGGAUAAGGACGACAAAGGAGACUGGGAAGGAGAAGAAGUGACCACAGGAAAAGUGAGAGGAAUGACAGGAAAAUGUGAAGAAAUAGAAUCAUAAGAGGAAGAAGAAAUAGUAGCAUGAAAAGGGAAAAUAGAUUCAUGAAAAGUAACAUGUCUAGAUACAUAAAGGCGAUUUGUAACAGGAUCAAGACAACGAUACCCAGAAUGAUUAAGACUAUAUCCCAGAAACACACAAGAUAAACUCUUGAGAUGUAAUUUGGAGGGACUAUAAGGUUUUAACCAAGGAAAACAUUGGCAACCAAAAAUUUUAAGGGAAUGAUAAUUGGGUUUGGAGUGAAAUAGGAGUUCAAAAGGAGAGAGGCGAGAUGAGGUAAAAGGUAGGCGGUUGAUAAGGUAAAGGGCAGUGAGAAAGGCAUCAACCCAAAACUGAAAAGGAACUUUAGAAGCAGCUAACAAAGUUCUAGCCAAUUCAACUAUGUGCCUGUGUUUUCGCUCUGCAGCACCAUUCUGCUCGGGAGUGUGAGGGCAGCUUAAUUGAUGAACAACGCCCUCUUGAUUAAGGAACUGCUGAAAACUAGAACUUAAGAAUUCCCCACCAGAAUCACUCCUGAGGAUCUUGAUUUUAGAGUCCAACAGGUUUUCCAUUUUGGCCUUAAAAGUCUUGAAAAUACCAAAAACAUCGGAUUUGAACUUCAUGGGGGUAAAUCCAAGCAUACUUGGUAAAAUCAUCCAAGAAAAGAACAUAGUAUUUAUUUCCCGAAACAGAAUAUACAGGACUAGGACCCCAGACAUCACUAUGUAACAAUUCCAAAGGCUUGGAAGUCUUAGAGCCUGAAUCGUGAAAUGGAAGUUUGGAUGCCUUUCCUACCCUACAAGCAGAACAUAGUACAUUUGUAGCAAAGGAACCAGAAAAAGGGAGGUUAUUAUGACUAAUGACUUGCCUAAAAACAGAAGCAUGAGGAUGACCUAAUUUCUGAUGCCAAGCGAGCAAAUCACAUUUAUUUACCAUAAAGAAAAAAGCAGAGCAACUGGUCUUGGCAGCAACAGAGUCAACACCAGCAGUCAACUUGUACAUACCCUCCUUAAGUGGACUGUGGUAAAGCAUCUUCUGUGUAACCAGAUCCUUAAUGACAAAUUCAAAAUUAUUGAGAGUUAGAGAACAUUGAUUAUCCUCUAAGAACUUCUGAACCAAUAGUAAAUUCUGAGUUAUAUGAGGAAUGUGUAAAAUAUUCCGAAGAGAAAAAUCAGCAGAAGGAGUGGUAAUAAUAGAAGAACCAAUAUGCGAUAUAGGUAAGCAGUUACCAUCUCCAACUUGCAAAGAAUCAGAACCCGAGUAAGGAACAGAAUUUUGAAGAUGACUGUUAUUAGCAGUAACAUGAGCGGUAGCCCCAGUGUCCAUGAUCCAAGAGGUAGAAAGAGGUUGGGACUGUGGAUUGACAUAAUAGCCUGAGUACUAAGUCGAUGACUGUGAAGAGGAAGUCUGAUUGAGAAGACGACCUAGCUUCCUGCAAGUGGCAGCACCAUGGCCACGCUUGUUACAGAAUUGACAAAUGAUAACUCCAUGAGAGGAGUGGGAAGCAUCAGAAGAAAACGGAGAAGAAUGGGAGAUGGAUGAAGAGCUGCCAUGAGAAAACGGAGACGGUGCACGAGAAGAGGAUCCAAAAGUAGAAUUUUGCUGCCAAGAAACAUGAGGUGUUUAAAGCAAUCCACGAGAGCCCGAAUUCAUAAGGCAAGACUGAAAUUGGGCCUGAAAUUGAGGUUGACCAAAGGAGGAUUGGCCCUGACCAGGACCUCUGUGCUUAGAAUGUACAUGAGAUCCACGACCUCUGUGGUGUGGAAAAGCAGCAUAAGCAUGAAACGGUUCAUGAGUGACGAGCAGAGAAGAACGAGUCUUGCGAUGUAGGAUCGCAGCUUUACGACCAAGCAGGAAACCAUGAAGCUCAUCAGAAGACACUAGGUCACUUCGAGUUUCAAUAGAGGUCACAAAAGAAUCAUACUCCUCAGGAAGACCAGCCAAGAUGUAAGCAACAAGAUCAGAAUCAGUAAGAGGUUGGCCAGCCGCUCAAGCCAGCAGCAAUUUCCUUCAUCUGCUGCAAGUACGUGACCAUAGACAGAUCACCUUUGGUGAGGGUUUGAAGACACGAGCGCAAUUGAUGAACGCAAGCACGAGAAACUCCGGCGAAGCGUUUCUCAAGAAGUUCCCAAAGAGCACGCGAGCUCUCAAUGCCCACAGUAUGAGAGAGAAGAUCAGAAGAUAACGUGGAGAUAAUCCAAAUCAUCAGGCUUUGAUCUUUAUCAUACCAAAGAUUAAAGGCUGGAUUCUCAAUGGUGGAACCAAUAAAAUCAAGAAUGUGCGAGGAUGAGAAGGCUCAUCACCAGUGACGAGACCGAGCAUCUUGAAUUUGCGAAGAAUUGGGAGAAAAAGAUUCUUCCAGAGCAAAUAGUUGUUUGCCUGAAGUUUGAUCGGAAUCAUGCCGAAAAUAUUCUGAACAGUAACAGUAGUGAAAGCUGGAGUUGCGGACGAUGCAGUAGAAGAAAGAACAUGACCACCAGCCGGCAGUGGUGUUUGACCUGAAGAAGCAUCAGAAGCUGCCAUGGAAGUAGAGAGGAAGAAGAAAAAUUAAGGUUUGAGAAAGGAGAAAAUAGCAGAGGAAAGAAUGCGGAAGAGAGGAUCGAAUGGCGAUGAUACCAUAAAGGAAUUGUAAUUCACAUUAACUGUAAGAAUGAUUUGUACAAGCUUUAUAUGAAAUUAUAAUGAUGAGCUGUCAAAUACAGCUGUAUAAGAUUAGUUACAGAUGACUAACUAACUAACAAACUAUUUACUGCCUUUAUGGUGAUCGUGGCUGGUGCAAUUUUUGACUUUAUAUUUCUCUUUAGAAUGAUUUCAAUUAAUUAGUGGUUUCGCAAAGAGGAAUGAUAUUCUCAUCCUCUCAUACCAUUAUUUAGUUAUGCAUCAUACACCUAUGUGCAGAGGGAUUAUGGAUCCUGCUUGGAUUUUAUAUGCCAUGAUUUGCUUGACUUUUGCUCUCCAUGUGCCACCUCAUUUAAAUUCCAUCCAAGGAAUUUGAGAGCUGACACAUCACUAAUUUUUUAUUAGGAAAAAAAAACAACAAUUUGCUUAAAACUUAAAUUAAAAAGUAAUUUUUUAAAAAAAAAAAACUAAAACCCUAAACCAGGUAACGUUACCCACUUCUGCAGCCUCCCUUCUGUUUUCUUCUUCAUAUUUUUUUCUUUUCAUUUUUUGCUUUUGAAUGUCUUCUUUCUGCCCAAUAACUUAUUCUACCCCUUCGAUUAUAUAUAUAUAUAUAUAUAUAUAUAUAUAUUUCUUUUUUAUAUUAAACUAAUUGCCUAAAGAAGUUGUAAGAUUGGAUUUUGAGGAUUGGCAAUAAUUGAUUAUGAUAUUGGAUGAAAAGAGAGUGAUGAGGUGGUGUUUACAUAGGAACGAUUCCCUCUGGUUGUAAGAUUGGACUUUUCUUCCUCUUGUUACUGAGAGAUUUGGUUGGUUCCCUCUGGUUAUUCUUAUCUCCUCUUGUCGUUUGCUUGAUGCUUCUUGUUGGUGGUUGUAUUGUCUUUGUCUUUCAAUCAAGUUUCUUGUGGAGCCCUGAAAAGAAAAGGAAGUUGCGGGCUUGACGUUGAACUCGUAGAGUUAGUAAUUACUGUUGACUAUUAAGGAGUGUGAAAUAUUGUUGAGACAAUUAUUUUUGUUCUUUUUUCCAAUGCGAUGUGUCAACUUUCAAGCUUUUCGAUGAAAUUUAAAUGAGGUGACAUGUAGAGAGUAAAAGAUAAGCAUAUUAUGGCAGUGAAAAUCCAAAUAAAGGAUCCAGAUCCAUGUGUGUUGUGAGGGAAGGGGUUUGAUAUUUUUUACAAUAAAUUUUUUUGGUUUUUUAUAAUCUUUUUCUUAUUUUUAAAAAUUUGUUUUAGUUUUUUAUUAAUAUUUUAAUCAAUUUAAGUUUAAAAAAGUGGGUCUCAUAUAUGUCACGUCAUCACUUAACUAAUUCUUUAACAAAAAAUUUACAAAUAUAGGUCACUUUAUUGUUAAAAUGGAGAAUAUAGAAACAAACAUGUCUUAAGAGUGAGAAUUUAUGAUACCCAACUGUAUUAAAUAUAAGCCAUUUUUCAAUGAUAUGGGUUGAUAUUAUAAUUGUAUCCAGGUACUCAAAUCUUGCAAGCAGAAGAAAGAAUUAACAACAUUAUCCAACUCAAAUUUUUCAACCCAUGUGCAUUGGAAGGUCGUCCUUGGUGAAAACCAAAUAUCAAUGAAGAAACAUCAACCAUUCAAAUAUAUCCUUUGAAUUAGAGUGGCUAGUGGCCCAACACGUCAUAUUUCCUUGUCUAUGAGGGUACAGCAUUUACCACAAACAAACCAUAAAUUAAUUGGAAGUUCACUUUUGUCACCAUAGCCAGCCAUCCCUCAUGGAUUUUCUUUCUCAUCCACUAGCCAUUGCAGGUCUUUUGGUCUUGGUUCUGUAUCUAUGGAGGGUGAGGAUCCAGAGCCACAAAAUCAAGGGCAUGUUGGCCCCACAACCAUCAGGUGCCUUGCCAAUCAUUGGCCACCUCCACAAGCUACGUGUUCCAGUUUUCAAAACCCUAGCAGCCAUGGCUGACAAGUAUGGCCCUAUCUUCACCAUAUGGCUUGGCAAGCACCCUGUACUUGUGAUCAGCAACUAUGAUGCAGUCAAGCAAUGCUUCACCAAAAACGACACAGUUUUUGCAACUAGACCAAGGUCGUCACACGGCAAGUACCUUGGCUACAACUAUGCAGGAUUUGGGUUCUCACCAUAUGGCCCAUACUGGCGUGACAUGAGAAAAAUGGUCAUGGUUGAGUUGCUCUCUAUCCGCAGGCUUCAGAAUUUAAAACAUGUCCAAAUUUCUGAGGUUGAUGCUUUCAUUAAAGGGCUGUUUUUGCUUUGCAAAACAGAAGGGCUCAAUGGUCUAAAUCCAACCAAGGUCGUGAUCAGUGAUUGGAUUGAGCACCUAACUUUGAAUGUAAUUACUAGAAUGAUUGCUGGGAAGAGAUAUUUUGAUAGCUCAGAUGAGGGAGACGAGCAAAGGUUUGGGAAAAUUGUGAAGGAGUUCAUGUAUGUGUCAGGAAAUCCAGUUGCUGCUGAUGUAAUUGGUUUUCCAAGUUGGAUUGAUUUUAAGGGGCAAGUUAAAGCUAUGAAGCGUAUUAUGAAGGAGUUAGAUUCUGUCAUGGGAAGUUGGGUUGAAGAACAUUAUGCAAAGAAAGAGACUAACUCAAGGGACGAGCAUGACUUCAUUGAUGUCAUGAUGUCUGUGAUUGAGGACAAUUCCACGCUUGGCUAUACGCGUGAAACGAUCAUCAAGGCAACAUCAAUGGUAUGUUUAUAUGCCUAAUUAUAUGAAAAAAACCACAAUUACUCAUGAUUUUUAACGUCUGUGGUAGUAAAUCUAUAAAUGUUUCUCAUUGUUUUUUCAGUAAAGUUUUCAUCUUUUUUAUUUUCAAGUGAUUGAUAGCUCAAAACUACCCAAAACAGAGCAAGAAACUAUUUUUUAUAAGAAAAAUUGCAACACUCUAGAUUGUUUGUUGUUCACAAUUUUCAACUUUUCAUGUGGCAGAAUCUUAUUCUAGCUGGUUCAGAAACCACAGCAAUCAACUUGAUAUGGAUCCUCUCUUUACUGUUAAACAAUAGGCAUGCUUUGAAGCUUGCCCAAGAAGAGCUAGACCUCAAAGUUGGCAGGGACAGAUGGAUUGAAGACACUGAUAUCGAAAACCUACCUUAUCUUCAAGCCAUUGUCAAAGAAACACUGCGCCUCUACCCACCAGGCCCACUCUCAGUGCCUCAUGAAGCAAUGCAAGACUGUCAAGUUUGUGGCUUUCACAUCCCCAAAGGCACCCGUUUGUUUGUGAAUCUGUGGAAAUUGCAUAGAGACCCAUGUUUGUGGCCAGACCCUGAAGUGUUCUGCCCAGAGAGAUUUCUCACAACCCAUGUAGGAAUUGAUGCCUCUGGUAAACAUUUUGAGUUCAUCCCAUUUGGGUCUGGAAGGAGGUCUUGUCCAGGUGCCACAUUUGCAUUGCAAGUUACCCAUUUGACACUUGGACGCUUGCUUCAAGGGUUUGAAUUGGCAACCCCUAUGGACAUGCCCGUGGACUUGACUGAAGGGCUAGGCAUUACCAUGCCAAAGGCAACUUCUCUUGAAGUUAUCUUAACCCCAAGGUUGUCCUUUGAAUUCUAUGAAGAUAGGUAGUGAAUUGCGUUUGGUACUUUGCUAGUUUAUGAGAUUAGGAAAUAAAGUAAUUGUCUUUCCUUCCUUUUUCUUUUUAUUAAUGAGAGGUUAGUGAGGAUUUGAAUAUUUAUACAUAGAUACAUGCAUCACUAGUAAUUUAUGAAUGUAUAUUAUUUAAGGAACAAAAUGCUCAUUAUCAAUUGAUAUAUGUGUGGAACAAUCCAAAUUCCAUUGGCAAUAAUGUCAGAAAUAAUCCAAAAUUUGAUUGAACAUAUAAAAGAGAUACCCAACAACAACAUACUACCAAAAAAAAAAAGUGCCAAUAGUUCCCAUUUUGUCACCAAUUUUUGUGACUAUUGUGGGGGUUACUAAAGGUGACUAAAAGCCUUUUUAGUCACCAAAAAAGUCAAAAAAUGUGACUAAAACCUUUAGUAACCCCCACAACAGUCACCAAAAUUAGUGUCUAUUGCCACUUUUUUUUGUAGUGACAAGGAGCAAAAUAGUCAUAUAAAAAGAUGAAAAGUCACACUAACGUACCUAUAAUGUUUUAUAUUGAGAAGGGCGAUAAUAUACUAAAUUCACACACAAUAUACUAGGACUCAAACUCAAGACCUUGCUUAGAGGAGUAAUUGCUCCGAACCACUACCCUAGCUAGUGGGUCCUUUGCAACUUACUUAUCAUUCUUGAAAUCGAGUAACAUUCACACAAAAAAGGAAAGAUUAAUUGCUUACCUACUUAUUUUUGUAUAAGAGUUUAGUUCGGGGGAAUUUGUAGUUUCAACGGUAGAGCAAUUAGUCUCAACGAUUGAGUUUAAUUUUUAUCCUAUCUUUUUUCUAAAUUAAGUAUGUUAGAAAUAAAUACUCUAUUCCUUUUCCAUGCCCAAGAAGGAAUCUUUUCCUUCUUUCUAUUUGUGUUGUUGCGUCAUUGAAUCCUUUUACAAACCAAUAAGAAAGUCAUCAAAGGUGUCAACUCCAAGGAUGAUUACAUACCCAAAUCCAAGAGAACCAAAAAGGAAAGCAUUAACUUCGGGAUCCAAUAUAAUCUUUCCUCCUUAAACUGAUAUUUGACGUGUUCUUUCCUAAUUGGUCCCCAGAAUGGAAACAACAUAAAUGCCACCUAGCAUCGGAGACCAACUGCAUGCCCAAUUGCCCAUCAAAACGCUCUCACUCUUUACCUCUUAACAACACGCAGGAAAAAAACACAACAUAAUUUUUGUUUCUUCGUUUGUUUCUCUGUUUCUCUUUCAAUAUCAAUCUGGUUUCUUUCUCUAGAGGGAUCGAUCAGGUGCAGAGCAGUCUUGGCUGAUACCAUGGGGAGGAGGAGGAGCUCGCCUGUGAAUGUGCUGUUUCAAUGGGUGAGGAGCCAGUCAAUGAAAGUCAAGGUCUUUCUUGGAGCCUUGCUUGCUCUCUGUGCUUUGCUUGCAUUGAGGUUUUGGGUGAGGAAUCACCACUACUUCUUCAUUGCCUCUGAGGUUGUGCAUGUGCUUGGGAUCAUCGUCCUCAUCUACAAGCUCACCACCCAAAAGACUUGCUCUGGUAUCUUUGCCUUCCUCUUUUCUCAAUCCUUCAUAAUUCUGUUUUUUUUCUUUCUGAAUUGUGGGUUGAUUUGGAUUCUUGGGUUUUUUUGUUAAUGUGAUUUGUCAUGCUUCUUGUUGAUUUAGUUGGGUUUUUCGAUUUCGAUUUUCGAUUUUCGAUUUUUAAAGGUGUGACCUUUUAUUGCUGUAUUAUCAUGGCACAAUGGCUGCAGCUUGCAGGUACAAUUUAUUUAGCAAUUAAUUAAUUAAUUAAUUAGUAAAUGGACCAACUUCAAUCAAACUUGAAAACAGUUCAAGAACAAGAAGGGGGAUGGAUGAAAAUUUGAACAAUUAUAGAUCAAUUUUGCUCUCACUAAUUAUAUAAAAUGGUUAUUGUUUUAGCAUUGCAAUUUUUCAUGAACAUGGUUAGUCUUUCUUUUGAAGUCCCAAUAUCCACCUUCAAAUGCAUAAUCUUACCCUAAUCUAUUAGAAUUCAGGUCACGUUGUGCUUUAUUUUGAUAAACAAACUGGUUUCUGAUGCGCUCUCAGGUCUUUCCCUAAAGACUCAGGAACUCACAGCUCUGUUCCUAGCAGUAAGGUUGUUCUGUAGUACAAUGAUGGAGGGUGACAUUCACACUGUGCUAGAUUUUCUUACUCUCGUGGCAACGGCGUGGGUCAUAUAUAUGAUACGGUUUAAAUUGAAGUCGACCUACAUAAAGGAACUGGACAAUUUUCGCUUAUAUUACCUGGUAAAGAUCUUCGACCUCCCUUUAAAUUAAGUGUUUGUGUGCACAAGUAAAUGUAUGUAUUAUUUAGUGUAUACAUGUGUAACUGGGAACCAUUUGAGGAAUUUAUACAUAUGUAUAAAUAUUACAUGUGUAUACGGUCUGUAUGCCGGUUCAUGUGACCCGAAUGCUUUGUCAAAUACGUGGGAAAUCAUUUGAAGAAUGUAUUCAAAGACCAGAACUAUUUAAUUGGAGAUUAUAAAUUUUAGGUGAGGCUGCAUUUGUCAUAUUGUCAGUUAGGAUGUUAAUGUUAACAGUAAAUUUGAAGGGAAGAAUUCUAUUAAACAUUGAAAUUUGCUUAUGCUUUGUAGUUUCUUUCUCCAUUGUGCAUUUCCAUAGCAUGAUUUUCAAUUGCCAGUUGUUAUAAAACCAAAUGGCAGACAAGAUUGAAUCACGGAGAAACGAAAAAUUUUGCUUUCGAUUUGAGAAGAUUUGGAGCUGCUUCCAUAUGCAUGUGUUGUUUAGACUAUGGCCAGCCUCAAACCAUUACUAUAUUGCAACAGGCACUGAUCUUGAAUGAACAUGUUUACUAUACUUGAAGUACAGAACGAGAAACUGGUAUUGUAGCUUUAGAAAAGGUACAAGAAUAUUCACAUUUGUUUUGCCUCAUAAACCACAAUGCAGGUGGUGCCUUCUGCUGUCCUUGGUGUGCUCGUCCACCCCUACACGCUAAAUUAUCGCUUCUGUCGAAUCCUUUGGGCAUUUGGUGCAAACAUGGAGGCUGUUUCAGUUCUGCCUCAACUUCGGUUGAUGCAGAAUGCAAAGGUUCAGUUUACAUCAGAUUAAAACUAUCACCCGUUUUACCAACUGACUGGACAUUAUUUUGAUCUUUGUUUUCUUCUUAUCAUGCUUGUUUUCAGAUGAUUGAACCAUUUACUUCCCAUUAUGUAUUCGCAUUGGGGAUUUCAAGAUUUUUUGCUUGUGCUCAUUGGAUUAUUCAGGUUUGUCAUGACUACAUCCAUAUGAAGUUUUGCAAUUAGACAUGUAUCAGACUAAAUGCGACAUUUUGCAAUUUACGUGCAGAUCUAUGAGACUAACGGGACAUAUAUAUACUACAUUGGGAGUGGAUAUUUCUGGCUUUUGUCAGCUUUCCUCGGUGAGAUGGUUCAAACAUUCAUCUUAGCUGACUUUUGUUACUACUACAUAAAGAGGUAAGCCCCGAGAAAAAUCUUGCAUACGACCUCUCUCGAAGCUUUUAUAUAUACAACGGUUGCAUACAAUAAAUUUUCGUGAACCAUGCCCCUCGUGCCACGCUCUAAUGACUAAUCUCAGAUGCCCUGAACCCUCCUAACACAGUAUUUUCUGUUUUGCAGUAAAAUGGCAGGGCAGCUGAUAAUGAGGAUGCCUCCUGUCUAGAGCUGCAGGGCUUAAUGAUGUACUGCCCUUCUUUCUCUGAGCAAAAUAUACAAGCAUCUUGUGACAUGGGGUUGGAAGUAAAUGAGUAAAUGUGUUACUCUCGUUUCUUUUUCUUUAUGCCAUAGUACGACUGUAAGACAUGGUUACUUGUGCUUUUUGGGUUUGGGAAUGAACGAAUUUUUUUGCAGUCAAGAAUUGAACGAAUGUACUUGUCGAAUUUUACCUUGUCAACUCCUAAUUUGAGGAACUUUCCUAUUGUGCGGAUUCAUAAUGUAGACGAAUGCACUACAUCUAUUAAAGCGACGUAUUCACCAUUCACUAAUAAGGUAUAGAUUAAUUACAAUUCAUUAAGGUGACAGAUUCACUCUUCGCUAAUAAGGUAUAGCUUAAUCACAAUCCAUAGAAUUAUGUUUUCAAUAAGUAACUGUUAAAAUUACGGAUUCACCCUUCAUUUGUAAAUUAUAAAUUAAUCACAGUUCAUUGAAUUACAUUCUCAAGUCGAUAAAUGAAUUCAAACUAAAGAUGCACCCUAAUUUCAGAAUUAUCAACUGGGCGCAAAGUGUUUAUUACGGACCUUAGAAGGGGGCAACCUGGACAAUAGCCCAGAUGAUUUGUAUGUCUUUAAGCCUAAACUAAAACAUUAGCCCACCCAAGUAUAGUCUUUCCACACCUUACGCAUCCCCUUCUUCCUUUUUGUUUGUCUGUUCCGUUGCAAUAGCCAAGCAUUUCCUUCAGUUUUAUUUCUUUAAGGGCAAAAAUAAAAUAUCAUCCCACACCACUUGCGCAUAAACAAACCCCUUCUUCUCUUUUUUUUGUUUUUGGUUUUGUUUUGUUACAAUAGCCUCCCUGUACGUCGAUCGAAAAAUAAAGAAAUAAUUAAUAUAUUUAAGAUAAUUAUGUAUUUAUAAAAUAUCGUCUCAAUUUAUUCUGAAAAAAAAAACUAAAGUAGAAUUAGGAAUAUAUAUUCUCUUAGAAUUACGUCAAUUAAAAGUAAAAGAAUAUCCAUAUUGUUUUAAAAUAAAACGUCAAUUUAUUAAUAAAUUUUUAGUUUUACUAGUUUUUAUAUAUACUCCUUAUUAUUUUAAUUUAUUUUAUCAAUAAAAUUCAUUUAUACUCUCGAAUUUUAUAUCUUCUUAAAAUAUACAUAUGUAAGAUAAAUUUUGAUCACUCCAUUUUUAAAUUCUAAACCCGUCCCUAAUUGUCGACAAAUAGGCUCAAGGUACAAUCCAAUGCAUAUAAAGUCUAUGAAUCCAAACAGCGACACGUGGUAACCAUGCAUAAUACAAGUAACUGCAAUGCUCGGUCAUACGAAAUUCAAACCCGGUCUAUGCGCUACAUACCCUAUCUUCUACUUUUUUGAACAAACUCAUCCCCCAACACCCCGCCACGUGUCAACUACCCUACAAACACAACCAACCUCAACCAUUCCCCUUUCACCACGUGUCCGCAUCACCGAAUCUGAGCAACACCUCGACACGUCAACAUCACUCUCCGUAAAAGGUGCAGACCAGCUUGACCCUGCCGAGCUGCGACUCUCAACAUGCGCGCCAGUGCGCCACGUUUCAGUCUCUCAAUCCCAUCCUUAUGGGAUGCGGGCCCCGCGGUUUGCCCAACUGGGACACGUGGCGGUUGUGGACGAUGCCACGUAGAACUACUGUCAUGGGGAUUCGUGGAGAGAAAAGGACGGUAGAGAUUCGCGGGGUGACAGCAAGAUCUCGCACCACGCGUCCGUACGCAUGUGCCAGGCUGUCAGAGCCCCAGAGCUCUCCGCCUAUCCGUUGUUAUUUACGGAUGCCAGGAGCGGACACGUGUCCGAUUCUAAGCUCUCCAUGCACUUGUGCCACAUGGCGCCCUGAACCUGCGAGCGUGCUUCUUGGGCUCAAAGAAAUCUCCCUUUAGCACUUGAGAAGAGUUUGUUUCCCGCUAAAUUAACCCUUAAAAAGACGAUUUUCGAUUAUUUUAAUCAGCGGUUAAUUAGGAUUAGUGGCGAAGAGUUUUGCUAAUCCCGUCCGCUAAAAAUAUAUCCGAAAAUAUCUACGUGUCUGCCCACCGUCUCUGUCACCUUCUACUCUUCCGCCACGUGGCGCCCUCCCUCGCUUCCCUCCCCAGCUAUUUCCUUACCCUUUUUCUCUCCUCAGAAAAUCCGAGAGCAAAUCCUAAUGUGAAUUUCAAAACACAGAGAGAGAGAGAGAGAGAGGAACUUUCUUCAUAUAACUACGAAGCUCCAGCUUCAAGCUUGAAGUUUUCUUUUUUCAGUUUGAGGCUCUUUGAUACGUUGAAAAUUUAAGCUUUACGGCAAUGGUGGAAGUUUCGGAGCCCGGAUUGAAAGAGGAGGAGAUUGAACUCGAUUUAGGGUUGUCAAUCGGAGGCAGUUUCAGAAAACCAGAGAAAUUGCAGUCCGUCAACGGCUUCGGCUUGGAUCGGAGAGAAAAGGAGAACCAAACGGCGUCGUCGGAGCCGGAGAGCGCGCUUCUUGAUUCGCAGACGAAGCGGGAGAUCCAGGCGCUGCGGAGGCAAGAGGCGAAGAGGAAGCGCGAAGAGAAGAGAAGCCGAGGAAGGAACGAGGCCCAAACAGAAGAGCAACAACAGCAACCGGCGAUCAAGAGAGAGAGAACAGAGACGAACGUGAAUGUGAACGUCAAUCUGAAUAUGAAUAACGGCGAAACGGAGCCCCGCUACCCGGUUCAACCGGCUCAGUACCCGUACCCGCCGGUGCAGUUCGUUCCAUACACGAACGGCUUCGCGUACCCUUGCGCGAUGCCGUGCUGGGCUCCCAGCGGUGGCGGCGGUUUCAGGCCGUUUCAGGCGCAUAAAAAUUUGGCGAAUAACGGGUGCGAAACGGAGGAGAAUGGUGGAGUUGGUAAAAUGACGUCGUCGAAUGGCGGAUUGGGUAAAACGGGGUCGUUGAAUGGGUCCCCAAUGUGUAGCUCCUCUACCGUUUCUGAUCAUCAAAGCGCAGUUUCUCAUGAAGGUACUGUAUACAUACUCUAAAUUGUGCAAAUCCUUCGUUUCUUAUUUUGUUAAAAUUAAUUUAUUUUUUUCCUGCCAAAAUAGAAUUUGGUUUUUAUUUUUUGGGUUUCAAAAUCUUUUAGGUGGUGGAAGCAGUGAGACCAGAAGCCAUUCAGGCCAGAGCUUACCAGAAAAAACCCAUUUGAACAAUGGUUCAAUAUCAAAAAAGACCAAGGCCCAAUCUGAACACACAGCUACCUCCAACUCAUUUAAAUCAAAUUCUCAAGGCAAUGAUAAAAAACUGGCUCCCAAAGAAGAACCCAAAUCAGAAAACACAGAGCCAGUUUCAAUCCCCAAACCCAUCUCAUCAAAUGGAGAUUCUGCAACUUUAACAAGUACUCCAUUGAAGGAAAUUACCAAAAUGGACCCUAUUGCAAAGCCCCCAAAACCCCCAACCCAGUGCAGUUCUCUUCCCCAAAUCCCUUAUGUCUCCACCACGGGGAAUGGCCCAAAUGGGAAAACAAUUCAUGGGUUCUUGUACAGCUACACAAAAUCUGAGAUCAGCAUUGUCUGUGUCUGCCAUGGAAGCACAUUCUCACCAGCUGAAUUUGUGCAGCAUGCUGGAGGCACUGAUGUAUCUCAGCCUCUGAGACACAUAACUGUGAUCCCAUCUGCUUUUGGAUGAUGAGAGCUGAAUCUAUCAGCUGAUAUGGAAACUGACCCUUUUUCAUUUCUGGUCGUCUUUAUCUUAAUUUGCUAGCUUUUAGCUUUUAGUUUUUGCCUUUUAAUUGCAGCUGAUGAGAGUUACUUUGGUGGGGAUUUGCAUACAUGUUGUAUGCAGAAGGAGAUGGAUGGAUUGAUGGGAGGCAGGCUAUACCAAAACCUCAGUUUACAUGAGUUCUUGACUGGAAAUUAAUGGGACAGACAGGCUUUUUUUUUGCUUUUUUUUUUUAUUUAUUAUUAUUUUUUUUAAUUUUAUUUUGUGUGUAUAAAGUUUUCCUAAAUGUGAUUGGCGUACAGUUAGCCUUUUAGAUCUAAUAUUCUUGUAUAUAAAUCUGAUAUCCUCCUUUUUUUCAAUAUUUUGUUUAACAUACUUCCUACAAAUUCAUCCCAGCUAUUUCAAAUUCUUAAGGUGGUGGGAGAACUUGAGCUUGGUUACCUUUUUUUCUAUGACUCAAUACUAAUUCUUUUUGUUUUGGGCAAACAUACUAAUAUAUGGUAUAAUUUACUUAUUUGUAAUGGGAAAAUAAGAAAGUAAGAAAUCGGGGAAUUUAAAAAAGUAAGGAGAAUUUAGAAAUAUGGGAAGUAAGGAACGGGUAACGAAAUCGGAAAACAUAGAAAUAUGAUAUCCCUUCUAGUUGAUCAAAUUCCUAAUUUAGGGAUAAUUUCUUUUCUUCUCUCAUACAUAUUUUGAUAAAUAAACAUGUCAUUAAUAAGAUCUCUCUUUUUUUGUUACCCUUUAUUUUCUCUCUAAUUAAUCCCAAAACAUAGAAUAGCCCAUGAUCAAUGUGGGCACAGCCCAAUGAAGGACGAGUGGGUCUACGGGCAGUCAUUGGCUUGGCCCAAUUUACCAGCCCCCACAAGGCAUAGGCAGCUGAGCACUAAACAAUUGCUCAACGUACUCAACAAACACUCAAGUUUUAUUUUCCCCCAAAACUUUCCAUUUUACCCAUCCCAUGGGUGUGCUGAGCGGCAAAUUGAGCAAAACUCUUUAAUACGCGCGAGACUAUGAAGCAAUGAAUACCCUAUAAAAAAUUAAAGAAACUUGGCUCUAAAUUUACAUUUAAAACGCAUAUUUUGUUGUGACUAUCUAAGUUUGAAAUAAUAGGUAAACAUGGUGUAACCUAGUGGAAACUGACGUUAACUUACAGAUCAAUAGUUUUAUAUUAAACCUCUAUAAUACUUUGGUAAUAUUUGUGUGAACCUCUAUGGCACAUUAGUGGUGUGUAUAGGACUGGGCAUUCAAACUGAUAACCCAGUUUUGGUUUGGGUUGGUUUGGUUUAAUUUCAAUUUUUUUUUUUAUAAGUUUGAACCCAAAUCAAACCGAAAUAUAUGGUUUGGUAUACGGUUUGCAAUAUUCAAAAUCACGGUUUAACCAAACGAAACUGAUGCUAUUAAAAAAAUAUUAUAUAUAAUAUUAUUAUAGGAAAUAUAUAUAUAAAAUACAUAGUUUCAAUCUUUUCUUUUUCUUCUCUCUCCAUCUCUCUGUUUGUCUUGUCUCCAUCAGUCCCUCUCUCUCUAUUUUUUUUCCUUCUUCUUCUUCUCCAUAUCACCCUCUUUUUUUCUUCUUCUCCUCUCCAUCGCUUUUAUUUACUCUCUCUCUCUCUCUCUCUAAGAAAGUCAAAAAACCCAAACCGAACCGAACCAACCCACCAAGUCCGGUUAAUCGAAGUGGUCUGUUUUCAUCAAUUAUGGUUUGGUUUCGGUUUCCAAAAUGACACAAACCGAGCCCUACGGUUCGGUGUUCGAGUUGAGCCCAAAACUGAACCAACUCAGACCGAACCCACCCCUAGGUGUGUAUGUAAGAAACUGAACUCCCCUUAUAAUUUAGACUAUCAUUUGAAUAAUAAAAUAAAUAAAUAAUAAAAAUUGAAGUAAUAGAUCCUUUGAAUAAAAGAAAACAUUACUUGCAUCUUCAAAAUAACCACAUACUUUAAAAAAUGACUCAUUUAACAUCUAUUGCUAUCAUGAAUCACAUGCGCAACUUAAUAAUCAUACAUUUGAUGCACUAAUGUUUCAUCAUUUUGAAACCAUGAGGUUUGCUUUGAAGUACCCUAACUAUUGUAUAACUUACAACAAUAAUCAUCAUAAUCUAUAUUAAACAAUUGCACCUAAGUAAAUAUGGGUUACACCAAUUACUCAAUAUAUGUUCGCCUCAUUGCACCCAAGAAAGAAUGGACUCGCUUGAAAGAAACCCUAGUUAGGACAGAGAAAUAGCUGUGAGGCUACUGAUUAAACUAGUUGAUUCUCUUUCGCCUAUCGGCCGGUCGGGGGCUUGAACCCCCUCUUUAUACACUAAAAAUAAAAAAAAAAUAAAAAAUCACUUAAGACUUCACAUAUGUUUUAUUUUUUGUCCUCGUUUUUCAUUUGAAGGGGGGUUUGCUACACUUUUUGUCAUUGGUCGUGGACAAAAGGACAUUGCUAAACUGUUUAUUAUUUUUUAAUUCCAAGAUAGAGGAAGUUUAAUUAGAAAAUAGAAAAAAGAAAAAAAUCGCAUUACGGAACAAAUAAAAUAAAAUAAAAUUUUCAUUUUCCCUUUCUCGAAUAUAAAUACCCAAAACCCUUUUCACUUCCUCUCUCCCCUCCCUCUCCCUCCUCCUAUACCAACUCUCUCGCGCCUCUUGAAGAUCCACCAAAACCCUAGAAACCGCCAAACCACACUAAGGAGGUGAGAGAAGUCGUACAGCACCACCAACCUUUUCCUCUUCUCUCACCUCUCUCCCUCCGAUCCACGCUCAGGUAACUCUUCGCUCUUCAAAUCUCAUACAUUACCUCUGCUUUUCAUAUUCUAAGUUUUUCGUUUUGUUUGUUAUUUAAGCCUGCUUUAGAUAUCGGUUUGUUUAAUGGAAGUCUAAAAUCGCCUUCUUUAGUUGGUAGUGAACUGAUUUAAGUUUGAAGAGAGUUUUUUUUUUCUUUCUUAGAAUCUUUUUUGUGUACGGAAUUAAGCUGAAUUUCAGUUAGUGGAUAGUUUGAGCCAUGUUUCCUGAUGAGAUUCGAGAAGAACAUUUAUUUUGAAAGUACGUAUAUAAAUAGCGCGAGGAAAUUAUUAUUAUUUAUAUUGUUGUGGAAAGGUUUGUAAUGUGUCUUCAGUUAACUGGAGAAAAAACUUUUCAAAUAUCUAAUUGAAAGAAUUGGAGUAGUAUUGAAAUUUAGUAUUUUAAAAAUAAAAAGGAAAAAAAGAAAUGCAGUAUUUUUCAAUAUACGUUUUAGUGAAAUCAUCUGCAUCAGUUUUUUUAGUUCAAUGUGUAAUGAUGUUGUUUGGUUUCUGGAGGUUGAUCAGAGAUGACGAUUCCGGUGCAGCAAGCCCCAGCUUCAAAUCUCCCUCCUAGUGCCGAUGUUGUAUGUAUCGAUACCUGAACAGUAGUUGAUGAUUUACUACACUAUUGAUCCUGAUGGUUGCUAAUGGAUUUGGAAUGAUUUUUUAUAUUUUAUUUGUUAAAUAUAGGUUGGCAAUGCAUUUGUUCUUCAGUACUACAAUAUCUUGGAACAAUCCCCCCAGCUUGUUCAUCGAUUUUAUCAAGAUAUUAGUAAGCUUGGUCGUCCUGGAGACGAUGGGAUCAUGAGCAUUACAACAACGAUGGAUGUAAGCUCCUUCCAAGACCCAACUUUCUUUAUCGUUAUAUUAAUGCAUCUGCAUGUUCAUGCGAGAUCAUAUUCAUAAUUGUUAUUAAAGCAACUUAUUUGGGGCCUAGAUGCCUAUGCCUAGGAGUAUUGUUAAAUUUUCCCUUUGAUGCUUUUCAUUGGUUAUAUAUAUUAUCUCCGGAAGCUUAGAAAGUAUAAGAAAAACAUAAAAAUUCUGUUGCACUGGAUAUAGAGGCAUUACAAGUUAAAUAAUUAAAGAAUUGUACAUUUUUCUCAGCAACUAAAUAUAGAAAUAUGAAGUUAUGAAUCACAGACAGAAUUGAUGAAAACUGUGAGAGUAAUAAUUCCUUUGGAUUUGUUUAUUAUUUUACUGUGCAGGCAAUCAACAAGAAGAUACUUGAUUAUGGAGAGCUCAGUGCAAAUAUCGUAACUGUGGAUGCUCAAGAAUCUUACAAUGGGGGAGUAUUUGUCCUUGUCACUGGGUUUUUAACUGGAAAGGACAAUAUAAGGAAGAAAUUUACUCAAAGUUUUUUCUUGGCACCACAAGACGUAGGCUACUUUGUUUUGAACGAUGUUUUUAGAUAUGUUGAUGAUUCCACCCCUCAAAACGGGGACAAUGGAUUGGUUGUUGAUGCUGCUGUUGAAGCUCCUCUUACUCCCAAGCAUGGUAUACAUGAUUCUUAUUGAAAUGUUAAAGUGUGUACUUUUGUUAGCUCUAAUUUAGUUUGAUUCUUGUUGUAGAUACUACCGCUUUGCAGGGCUAUCAUGUCUCAGAGCCUGUGGUUGUAGUUUCUGAGGAUGUUGCCAAGGAGGAAGUAUACAAUCCCACUGAAAAUGGAGAAGUUUCAAUCGAAGAAGAAGAAGCACCAGUACCGGAGGUUGUCAAUGAAAUUCCUGAUGAUUCACAGGUGGUGGCUGAAUCGUACUCUAUUGUCGAAGCUAAAUCCAACUCCAAAGUUGAAGCUGAAUCCAACUCCAAAGUUGAAGCUGAGUCCAACUCCAAAAUUGAAGCUGAAUCUAACUCUAAAGUUGAAGUCCCGAAGAAGUCAUAUGCCUCAAUCGUAAGUAGCUGUUUUACUAUCUCUCAUGCCUCUAAAUAUUUUCAGAUUUGUAAAUAUUGUGUAAUUGGUUGCAGUACUACAUUUCUCAUUAACUUAGUAACGCAAUUUGUGCAAAAGAAUCUCACUUUUCCUUCUUCUUUGUUGUUGUCCGCACCUGAUUCUGGGGCUUAAAUCACUUGUUCCAGCUUAAGAUUAUGAAGGAGAGUACUGUGCCAUUUUCUACUCCAGCAGCUGCUUCUGCGAGGUCUGUCCCAAAGAAGCAAGAGCAGCAAGUGACUGCUGCUCCAACAUCUGUUCCAGUUUCGGAAACGGUAGUUUCCAGCACAAAUGCACGAGAAAAUGGGAAUCUAGAGGCCGAAGGUAUGCAGUUCAUUAUACCGCUAUUUAACUUAUUCUCUGUUUCUUAUCCUCCCAUACGUUUGCAUAGUAAAUUUGGUUUCAUGUAAACAGCUGAAGGUCACUCUAUCUACAUUAAAGGUCUGCCAAUGAAUUCUACAAAUGCUCUUAUUGAGAAUGAAUUUAAGAAAUUUGGACUGAUCAAACAGAAUGGUGUGCAAGUUAGAAGCCUAAAGGUUUGUCAUGAAUUUCUCUAUCUUUGAUGUUCGCAAUUCUUCUGUGAAAGUACUUAUUGUCCCUCCAUUAUUACACAGGGCUUUUGUUUUGGCUUUGUGGAAUAUGAGGCUGCAAGUUCUGUACACAGUGCGAUGGAGGUAUUUAAUAGACAUUGUUGCACAACUAUUUUUUUUUUUUCACGAUCCAUUAUAUUGGAUGUUUGAAAAGAUUUAUGUAUGUCUAUUUCUUUGAACCCUAUUAAUGAGUUUUUAACAUAAGGAAAGUGGUGUUUUAGUUCGUUGCGUGUUUCUUCAUUGAUGCACUACGUUUUUUCAUGCCCCGUUAUCUUGGAUGUUUGAAUAGAUUUAUGGUUCUGUUUAUUUGUUUGAACCCAAUAAAGAGUUGUUAACAUAAUUGCUUUUUAAUUUAGAGUGCUGCUAAACGAACCUUAAAAUUAACUGAGUACACCCUAUGAUCUAAGUACAUCCUAAUAUUUUAAUUAAAAUAUAAAAUUAACUAAGUACAUCCUAUAAAACUACCAAAAAUACCCGUGGUACACCCUAAUACUUGUAGCAUUAUUUUAUAGUUGAUUUUCAGCUUUAUUUUUUUAUUAGUGUUUAUAAAUCUUUGACUUUUCAUAUGGAUUUAUGCUUUUCUACUAAAACUGUUGACACUUUUUUUGCAAUUCCGAGUUCUUACAAUCACCACCUCUUUCGUUUAAAACACAAUAGGACAAGCUAUCUCUUGAUUAGGGUUGAAUAUGGUUAGUAGGGUGUACUUAUUAAAACUAUAUUUGUUUCACAAUUCCAUAUAUCCUUUUUGGUCAUUUUAUAUUAGGGUAAAUCAAUAAUUCAAUAUAUACUUUUAUAGUAAGGUGUACUCAGUUAAUUUUAGGGUUCAUUUAGCAGCACUCUUAAUUUAUUGCUUGUUUCUUCUUUUAUUGAUAAAAACAAAAGAGUCCAUUUGAUAUUCUAAUCCUUUGAUUUUACAAGUCUUUGUGUUCAUUUUUUCAUGUGCUUGUGCGGAUAACAUUUCUAUUGGUGUUGUAGGCUUCACCCAUCAUGAUUGGCAACCGCCAAAUUUUUGUUGAGGAAAAGAGAUCUACUCGAGGUGAGUUGAAUUUUGUGCUGAACAUUGCGUUCAAAAUGGAGAUUGCACAUUUUUACCCUCCUUGAUUCUAAUUCUUUUACAACAAUUUUUUGCUUGUCCAUUUCUAUAUGUAGGGAACAACAGGGGACGGUUUUCAUCUGGAAGGGGCAACGGCAAUGGAUACCGGCCUGAAGGUGGCAAUGGUUACAGGACCGAAGGAGCAAGAGGACGUGGAGGCUAUGGAGGUGGUAGAGCUUAUGGACGUGGUGAUUCCGGUUUCAAGUCUGAAUUUGGGAGUAGGAGUAGCAAUAGGGGAGGAGCACCGAGUCGUGGAGCUGAUGGAUAUCAGAGGUCUGAUCAUGGUGGUCGUGUGAAUCGUCCUGCCGGGGUGGCUGUUAAUACAGCGGCCAAGAGUACAGCACCACAAGUGUCUGCCUCAGCCUGAGAAAGGCCAGGCAUCGAAGAGGUUCAUUGGUGAAUGAAGACAAAUUAAUUUUUUUUCGAGUGACCAUGGUGUAAUUGUUGGAUAGCAUGAAGAGGGCUGUUUAUGAUCUGUUUGUGGAUGAACCACCUAGGAAUUCCCAUAGGAUUUUUUUCCUUGACCUUUUUAUUUUCUUUCGGCUUUAAUAUUGGAGUUAUUUUGGGGUUGAUAGUGGUGGUAGAAUUAUGCUUUAGUAUAUGUUUCUCGAUAAACUACUUGUAGUAGCUCCAUUGCGCUGUUUAUGUGGAAGGAAAUUGGGAAAAUGAAUUAGGAUUUAGGGUUUUUGAUGUGUUGUAAUGCCUGUCUCGUGUUGGUUGUAGGUUUCCCUGAUUAUUGUGGGCUAAUGUUUUGCGGAUGGUUUGAUCUUAUUGUUUACUUGAUUUUGUGCAUCGGUAUUAACUCGACCCUAGAUAUUUUUUGUUUUCACAAGUUAAUAAAAUCAUUUCAUAGUAGGAAUUCAUCAAUUAAAUUUUAUCUGUUCCAUUUGAACUCAGUCUGAAGGUCGACUUUUUUUAAAUUAAAUUAAUAUACUUAAAAGAAUGCAAAAUGUUGCAAUCAACUGAAUUUUUUCCUUCUUUUUAGUCAAUUCAAAACUUACGACCUAGUCCAACCGGCGUCCAACUCUGGCCGGCUAUCUACAUCCUCCAGGGACCACGUCAAACCCCCCAAGUGUACAUGAUUAGUAGCCCCAAGUGUACAUGAUUAGUAGCCAAGUAUCAAACCUUGUAAUAUUUGUACGGAGGAAGUAAAUAAGCAUCCGCCAUUACUUUUCUUUUUCGAAAUCUAUCAUACUUGAGAUAUUUGGCGUAUUUUCCAAAACCAAAAGGGGAUUCUUUUAAUUUCACUGAACUUUGGGCUUGAGGAAAACAAGAUGGUAGUAUACAUACAAUCUUCUCAUAUCAGAGCCCUCCAAGGCAUUGUUCUGAUAUUUGAGAGAUAGGCUUGAAAAUAGGGCAGGUUAUAUGAAGAUUGCUACAUUCUUCAGGGUCCAAUAGCUGCUAGCUAAAGGCAAUUUACUGUAGAUACAUCCACCAACUUUCAACAAUUAACAUCUUCCAAGUAAAUUUAAGUUGUAUGAAACAAUAAAAAGAGGACCUAGAUUAACAUGGAAAACAUGUAUGCUACACUUGAAUUGAUGCAUAUCUUCCCUAUACUUACUAAGAAGAAUAUAACUGGUUAACUUGAAAGGAGUAGCAAUGGAACCCACAAGGAGAUAAUAGCUUACUAGUUACAAGGACUAGCAUUGGCAGAUCCUCCAACUAGAGCUUCAGCAAACCCCCGGUUCAUUUAAAUACCAAAAUUGCAGGCUUGAACAAACUCCAUAUCAUAAUCGACGUGUUUUUCCCACAGUGGCCGGAACUGGCUCAUGGCUAUAUCAAGCCAAGGCUUCAUGUUCCCAUUGAAAUGCACCACUGCGGCAUUGCGAAUCUCUUCCAUGCUGAUGCUAGGAUUAUAGCCGAGUCCCAGAACAUGCCAUGACUUGUCUAGAGGCUUUGUUGUUGAGUAGAAAGUGAUUAAACCUGGGGGAAGUGUCCCCAAUUUCCACAAGCUACGGUUCUCAUUCUGCAAGGAGACAACAUCCCUAGUUAGUGCUGCUCCAAUAGACCACCAGUCACUUACACAUUUAGAGUCGAAUGAACAAAAUCAACACAGAAUCCCGAAACAGAAUACUUAAUGUGACUGACAUGAUAGCAUCUAAAAAAGCAUUAUCAGUAAUUUUCCCUUCUGUUUUCACUACAACUAGUGAGACAUUCUUUACCAUUCCCUAAAACCCUUACUACAAGGCCAACUAGAAGCUGCAUGUUUGAAACAAAAAAAACAAAAAAAACUACAAAUGCACAGAGUCCGCACAACCUAACAUAUUCUACAACUUAUGCAUCUAUAUACAUAUCAAUACCACCAUAUUUAUUUGCAAAUGUAAGGAUUCUGAACAGAAAUUUGACCAAGAAGAAAAGUAAUCUCUUACCAGAUUCUGCCAGUAAUGAUACUCGGCGGUACAAUUCUGCCUUCUCCAAGCAUCCAAAUCAAAGAAGUUCAUUCCAUAAGCCCACGCACACGCAUUGGGAUUAAACUUCUCCUUAAUCAAGGGAUGUGAGAAAUUCAUGUACUGUGCAUAACGAUGGAACGAACCAAAACAUGUCUCAACCGCCCCGUUCACCUUCCCAUCCAUAUCAAUGUUCCACAAACCAGUUAAGUCUUUCUGAACCACUAUAUCAUCAUCCAAGAACAGAAUUCUAUGCAAUUUGGGGUACAUUUCGGGCAAAUAAAACCUUAAGUGGUUCAGUAUAGACAAAUACUUGGGAUUCCUAAACUUCAUGUUUGUUGCGUCUUUGGUUGCAUUCUCGAGCUUAUUCUCAAAGUAAAACUGUUGCAACUUUGCGUUCUCCAAUUGCUUGAGCACCGGCACAUAUGAAGAAUUCAAGAACUUGUAAUCCUCCACAGCCUUCACUUCAACAUGUGACCCAUUAUAGUCCUUGCUUUUAAACAUAACCUGCAUUGCUCCAAGGUUCAUCUUAUCAGUAACUACAUGGAACACAUGUUUCCAUGGCUCCUUGGCGUUCUUCACUGCCGAAUUCACAACCACUGAAGCUGCAAUCACAUUAUCUGAAAAUAUAGCAUAGUGGUAAAGAUUGGGGUCCUCAAUUUCGGGCGGAGUCGGCUUCCCUUCAUCAGUAUACUUCUCCGGAUGCGCAAUUCGCUCCUCCAUCAACCGCAUUGCAACGCAAUGCAAGCUUUUGGGGAUCGAUUUUGCGGCAAUCAAGCUGGAGAAAGCUCCUUGCUUCUUGGCCUUCGUCAGCUGCUCGUUCACUUGGAAAAUAGUGUCCUUAAGCUUCUGAAUCUUUAGCUGGUUAUCGAAAGACUCUUUGGCUUCGGCGAUUACUUGUCUAGUAACUUUGAUUCGCUCUUUCACUUCUUUCUCGAACUGGCGCAGCACUGAUUCGUCGAUGUUGAGCGCGUCGGAGUCGAAGAGAGCGCGAUAAGCGGGCUUGUUCAUGAGAUCCGAGUAGUUUCGCGAGAGAUCGGCGAAGACCCGAACGAGCUUGGAGUUCUCGAGCUUCAGCUUCCGCGCAUAGCUAGCGUAUGCCAGGGCUAGGGUCCGAUGAUCGUCUGCUUGCUUCCGGAUUUGGUCCAGUCGCGGCUUCAGAGGAUCCGAUUUCAGAGCAAGCACCGUCCUUCUCGUCGAUCCCAAUCCGUAUGAACCAGAAUUGAAACCCUAAUUCGCAAUUAACAACAAAAGAUUACUAAUUACUUCGAUUUUUGCAAACUUUUUCUACUAGUCUAGUUCCAGCGGGGGAAUGGAAACGAAAAUCCAAAAACGAUUAGAUCCCGAAAUGAAAAACAUGAACUUGAAACUCCAUUGAAGCAGAGAAGCAGCGAGAAUGUGAGAGAUGAGCAGAGAACACUUACCAAGUCGGUGAGAUCAGAAGUGUCGGUUUGGGAAGUGAAGACAAAUGAAAGAGAGAUGAAGAAGACGACGGCGACUGCAAUGGUCAUAGCCAGAACUCUGAAGGACGCGGUGGAGCUCCGCAUGGCUCCUCCUCUGCUGUGGGCAGAGACUCGAAGGUUCGCCAUUUUCGAUUUGGCUUCUCUCUGUCUGUGAGACUCACACUUCUUCUCUCACUCGGACUCUGGCAUUAAUUUUGGAUUUUUUUUUAAAAAAUUUCUGUUAAUUAUUAACUGUAAAACGCGGAUCAGCGAGUGCGACUUGGCGGUGCUUAUUAAAAUCUCAAUAAUGUGGGGCCCAGGUUAGGGCUGUGUUUUUGACUUUCGUCACUUGUUCGUUAGUGGGAUUUGGGUGUUUAUUAAUUAGUUAAGGGUAAUGCUAAAGAGACUAUCUAUUUGUACCAUAUUUGUGUACUAAAUGAUGUGGCUAUUUAGUUGGCAAUGCCACAUCAUUAAGUGAGUUUUUAAUAUUUUUAAUAUUUUUUUUAUAUUUUUUUACCUUUCACUUUAAAGACUCAUUUAAAUCAUAUUAUAAUCAUAUUAAAAUUAAAAAAAAAUUAAAAAAAAAAAAAAAAAAUCUCCGCUCUCUUCUCCUACCUCCUACCUAGCCAACCCUCUCUCCCUACUCAACCCCACCUUUCAGCCACCCCUCUCCCGUCGCCCAUCCUUCCCUCAGCCUCUCUCUUUAUCAUCAUCAUCAGCAUCACCAAUCUACAAUCAACAAUGGCAGUUCAAGCUCAAUACCCUUCAAAUAUCCUCUUUCUAAACAGGUUUGCAUUCUCUCCUCUGCUUCCUUGGUUUUGGAUUUUUAUCAGCAAACCGUAUCUGCAAUCUAUAUAUCUUUCUUAUCUAAUUAAUCCCUGCUUGGGUUUCCACUGAUUCUGCAGAAACUCACAAGAAGGGCAUGAUUAUUCCUUACAAGCACAGCCAGGAGGAUAUCUUGAUCAAUCCCACAUGCUAUUCAACAAUGGAGGAGGAGGUGAGUCUCUUCAUAUCUUUUGAUUACCCAAUUCUGCUUUUGGGCUAUAAACACCAAUUCAAUCAAUAAAAGAUUGGUUUUUUUGAAUUUGGUUUUGAUUGAUUUGAUCACAGCAGUCAAUAAUACUAUCAAUCAGCGCAAAAGAGGAAGAGAAACUUCAGCUGCCACUGAAAUCUCACCUUCAAUCCUUCCUUUCUCUCUGCAACAACAAUCCCAACCUCCUCCUCCUCAGCUCAUCGACCUCUCCCAACUUUACAGCAACAACCACGACCACAACAAUCCCAAUGUGGUCUCCACGGGCCUCCGUUUAUCCUUUGGAUGGUUGAGGGUAGGUACAUGUACAAGAGUAUGGCUGAGGGAAGGAUGGGUGACGGGAGAGGGGUGGCUGAAAGGUGGGGUUGAGUAGGGAGAGAGGGUUGGCUGGGUAGGAGGUAGGAGAAGAGAGUAAAGAUUUUUUUAAUGAUUUAAAUGAGUCUUUAAAGUGAAAGGUAAAAAAAUAAAAACUCACUUAAUGAUGUGGCAUAACCAACUCAACAGCCACAUCAGUUGGUACACAAAUAUGGUACAAAUAGAUGGUCUCCCUAGUAUUACCCAAAAAUUACGCAUUUGUGAAAAAUAAAAAUAAGUUAAUUAAGCAUAGACCCAAUAAUGUCAAGUCUCAACUCAACUCAAGACACAUUUACCAAAUUGUCUACCUUACUAAUAUGUGACAGUUAACAUUGCUAAUUAACAUGGGUUCAUUAAUUAGUAAUUUAGUACUCAUUACACAUCAAUUCUUACAUUUUAUCAUCAACUAAUGUGACAUUUAAUAGUUUUCUAUUGUAGAAAAAAUGUUUAUUAUACCUCUGUUGCAUAAAAGGGCUUUUAGUUUCGAUUUAUGCGUCGUUUGGGGUUUUAUCUGAAAACGCCUAUAUACAAUUUAUAACCAGCUCAUCUUUCAAUAUGAGAUAAUAAUAUUUGAUUCUGAAUUUAUAACAUCUUAUCUGUAUAAUUCUGAAUUGCCUUGGAUGCUAUUGCUCAUAACAUCCAUCACGUACCAUGGCAGUUGGGUGCACAACCACUCCCAUAUGAUUUUCUUGCAAACAAGAGCAUGCCAUGUGACUUUUUUUUUUUUUGUAGCCCAAGGGCACUCCAUUAUUAGAAGAACAUAAUCCUAACUCCAUUAUUAAAAAGUCAAGGCUACUUUACUAAAGAGAGGAAGGGUGGUCUCUUCUUUUUACCUAGAGAAAUAUCAAAGAGCUAGAUCUACACAGUAAUUAAAGAGCUCUAAUUAGGUAGGAUCUAAUUGCUAUGGUAAAAAAAAUGGGAAUGAUAUUUUCAAGCCAUUGAAAGAAAAGCCACUAGCUAAAGUUGUGGGGUCAUUGAUGAACCCUAAUCUCAAAUUGGUCAUCAUAUUAUGCUUAUAGUAGGUUAAAGUACAUGAUGAGUUGACUCUUUUAAGAAAUUUUGUGUAAAUAAAUUGGUAACCUAGAAAUGAGUCAGAUGGAUGGAAACAGAGGAACAAUCUUAUCUUCUAGUUAAUUUGUGGAAGCCAAUUUAUAUCAUAAAACAAAGGGAUAUAUUUACUUGUGGCACUCUUACUCAAAUACACAUCAUUGCUACUUGAAUUUAGCAUGCAUUAACCAAAGUAAAUCUAAAAAUCUAGUUAAAUCAAUGGUACCCCUUCUUCCCAUGCUUGGUGACAUGGUGCAACCAUCCAAACCCUUUGAGGGCCUUGGAAAACUUGACAAGAUUAGGCCUCCCCAUGCCCAAAUUCAUCUUCCCUGCUGAAAAUUUCAAUGCCUGCAAGCAGCAUAAUUGCCCAUCAAAAUCUUCCUCUUCCUCUCCAUCAUCCUCCUCCUCAACCUUUCCAUUCUUGCCCUUCUUUGACUUGCUUUUUCCUUUCGUAGCUUUAAUUGAUUCUGUCUCAUCAUAUGUCUCCCAAAGCAUGUCCAUGCCCUCACCUCCACCUUCCACAUUGUGAUGUCUCUCCUCAAAAAGCUUGCAAGCCAGUGUCCUCCUCCACUCUUUCUCUUUCCUCAUUGAACCAAAACUUCCAAGAUUUGGACCCAUUAGCAUUUGAGAGUCCUCCAUAACUUUAAUGUUGUCUUCUCCAAAAUUUGCUCCUAGCCUUUGGGAAUUUGACAUGGAUUUGGAAGUAAAUUGAGCUUCAUCAUAAUCAGCACUCACUUCACAAAAACUUGUUUUGCUACUCAAAUCCUUGGAUGCUCUUCUCAUGGACCUUUUUUCUUUUCCAUCUUCAUCAACUUUAUUGGACAGUGUGCUUGCUGGCUUGACUUCUUUCUCUUCCUUGAAAUCUUUUGACCAAUUCUCCUCUUGAAAGAAUGCUGCCAAUGUCUCCACUCUUGGCCAAGCAAUAACCUCAGCCGGGUUUUCAUCUAAAAUAUCACUUGCAGCUUCCAGUGGAGCAGAGGUAGCAUUGCCUUCAUGGCUGGACACAUCAUCAACUGGUGCUUCAGAGACUUGUGAGCAGAUUUCUUCAACUGGGUUCUCGCUAAUCUCGAAACUAGACGUAUCAAACACAAUCUUAUACACUUCAAGCUCUUCGAAAGAUCGAAACUCCUCGUGCUCAUGAUCAUCACCAUCACUGUCAUCUGCCUUAGACUUCUGCAAUCUUUCCAAAACAGUUUGGUAAGUGGUCACAAGACAACCAACUUUGAUGCUGGACAAUUCGGAAUUCGCAACGUUGUCUUGGACAAGUGGGGGAGAGACAGUGAGGUAAGCCAGGACAAGAAGCGCAGUGGUGAUGAAGAGAGGAGACAGA
rnacentral:lncRNA from 1 species